UAUAUAUAUAUAUAUAGAGAGAGAGAGAGAGAGAGAGAGAGGCUGCUGUUGAUUUGGAUCAUAUUAUUCAACCAAUCACCUACUCAACCCUAGAGGAUCACUAUCAUUCUAACUAAGGACCACUAUCAUCCUAACCCCAUAUUCAUUCAUCCAACGGCCGAAAACUUAUAAGUACAAAGAGCUCUAUACUCAUAAGAGUAUAGUAGCUCUAGCAUACAUAUUAUAUAUUUAUUAUAUAUGAUUUUAAAACUGUUGUCCUAAAUUUAUCGGCGAACUGGCAUAUGGCAGCUUGUAUGUCAAUCCAUCUUAAUAAUACAAGUUAAUUAUAUCUUGGGCUAAUUUACUAUAUUCGUACUUUGUUAAUAAAUAAUUGUUUUUUCUUUUUUUCCUUUCAUUCUAUUAUUAUGUAUCUUGUAUAGUACGCAAUAGUUAUUAGGUUAAAUUCUUUUUCUUCCCCAAUUACGUUGUCAAGAUUCAGUUAUUAAAAUUGUUUUAAUGCCCAUUUACUAACUUUUAUUUCAAGCAUUUAAAACAUGGGCUUGGGACAACGAAUCUCAUUAAGCAAGGAAAGGUGUCCGUUUCUAUCCAUCUUUUCGCCAUAAACGGUAAUGAAUGAUGGAUACAUCUUUUAUUUCACUGUAAAAAAUUUUAAAGGUUAAAAAUUACAUUAAGUGUUAUUUUAAAAAUUACAUAUAGUUUUAGUAUUCAUUCUCUCCCUUAAUAAGGUACUAAAAUUACAUUGUAAUCCUCUGUUCCAUAGUUUACACAUUUAUUAUAAAUAAAUAAAUAAUAAUAAUAAGUAUGUCAUAUGUUUUACUGUAAAACUCUAUAUAAGGAUUCUUCAAUCUCCUUGUAUCUAUACUAUUUAAAGAUCUUUUCAUGAAAUGCUUUCCAGCCAUAUAGCAUUAUUAUGGACAAUUAAUUCCCUACCAAAUUUAGCAAAUUUGACGUGGAGGUUCUUUGAUCAAGAAUUAUUUUAAUCAGUUACUUAAUUGGUAUUCUAUCUCAUUCAAUUUGCUUGGUAAUCUGAGAUAAGACACAAGUGUACCGAUUUUCUAUUGCAUUAAUUGCAACUUUUUUGUGAUCCAUUUAUUGUUAUUAUAAUAUUAUUAUUAUUCUCUGUUAUUCCAUUGUUGACUCUUUAAUUUGAUUUGUUACUUAUGUAUAUUUCUCUCUAUAUAUAUAAACAUGGAAAAUAAUAGUUGAAUAUCUAUAUUUUUAGGUACGUACCAUGUAAUUACUACUCCAUUUCACCAAUUAUAUUAUUUUACAUAUUUGUACUCUUUUAGGAAUAAACUUAUGUGAAGUGACAUAUAUCUAACGACUUAUUAGAGUAUGUAAUUAAAUUUUGAUUUUAAACCGAGCAAGAUGUUAUCAAAUGGUGCAGUUUUCAUAUAAUUUUGUAGCUUUAGCAUUGUAAAAAAAAUCCAAAUAAAUUGUUAAGGAUUUUUUUUUUUAAAAAAAAUUAAAUAGGUAAUAAUAUGUUAAAAAAUAUAGUUUAAAAAGAUUUUGAAAAUUAGCAUAAUAUCCCAUUAGAUUAAUCUUAUAGUAGAUUCUCAACUCCAAGAUUCGUUUUUUUUUUUUCUCUCUUUUUAUUCAAGAAUUUUAUAAAAAUAAUAUUAAAAACUAGGUGUAGCUGCUCUGUGCAUUUACACGGGUUACUUAGUAGUGUGUCCAUAAAGUUCACGCCAACAACCUGAGUAGUUCUUGGUGGUUCUAUAUUGGAUAUUAUAUAUAUAAAACAGUCGAUGCCUACAUUAUUAAUUGAGAAAUUAUUGCGUGCUCUUGGUUCCCCAACAUUACUCGUGUACCACCCGUGGACCACUUCUUAGUAACUUCACACUCCAAGUUUAAAAAGUUUUAAUUAUUUUUAAGCCGUAGUAAUGAAGUAGAUUCUCUACGGUAAAUAUUUGGGGGGUCCAUAACUGACGUGGUGGACCCUGUCCUUCCGUCGGUGAGCCGUGGAAAUAAGGAUGAAAUAUUUCAAACUUAAAAUUAUAAUUUAAACUUUAAUUUGAAUCCAUAAAUAUAAUUUAAGUUUUAAAUGAAAUUUGAAUAAAACUUUAUGUAAAUUAAAAUUUAAUUUAAAUUCAAAUUCAUAAGUUAGAUUCGAAAUACUUGAUUAAAUUUUAAUUUUUAAUUUAAGUUUAAAUUAAAAUUAAAAAUUAAAAAUUUAAUUUCUAAGUUUAAACUCAUAUUUUAAUUAAAAAGUUGAAAAAAAAAAAUUUAAUCCGAAUAAAUAUCCAUUCCGUACGGUUUCAACUUCCAUUCUGGCCUCCUAGGCCGGAUUGAAAAAACAGGUGAUUAGGAAAUUCUCAUUCCACUCGGAAAUCGGAAUCGGAAUGAGACUCCCGUGUAUCAAACACCCACAAACGGAUUUGCCCAUUUCGAUCGAUUCCGAUUCCAUGGUGAAAAAAAGCGAACCAAACAUACCGUAAGCUUACGCAAUAUGCACGAACAAUUAAUGAGAUUAGUCAAAAUCACGGAGAAUGCAUUGUGUAAAAUGAAUACUUACAAAAAAAUAUUUAAGGUUGAUGGGCCACUAGUUAACCACAAGAAACCUAAUCUUGUGGGCCAUGGAGGAGCACAUCACAGCCAUAAAAAUGUGAGAAAUUAUUACUUGCACCCAGUGCAUUCAUAUGUCUAGUGCACUGCGCAUUAUUUAAAUGUCCUGGCACAUGCAAUAAAUUAUAUCCUGAUUUAGAAAAAUAUAGAUAAAAACAUAUUGAAUUAUUCUGAAUUAAGAACUAUUUUGAAUUGGCUAUCUAAUCUUUCGAAAUUUGAUUGUACUAUCCAAAUUCUUCAAUUUAUUUGACUUAAGUCAACCAACCGUAUUUAGUUUAACAAAUUUAUAGUCGUAAAAAAUUACAUAAGAUAUCGUAACUAAGCCUGUGAAGAUAAACAGCGUAAUAAAAAUUUUAAGUCAAAGUAUCAUUGGCUGAUUUAAAUCAUCAGAUGAAUUACCAAGUUGGAUAGUAAAAUUAAAAUUUUGAAAGAUUGUGUAGUUAAUUCAAAAUGAUCCAUAGUUCACACGAAUUCAAUACGUAUUUAGGAAGAAUAUAUAAUAAAAUAUUACCAAUGGUGUAUACGAGAUAUGUACACGAGGUGCACGCAAUAAUUUCUCAAGAAAAGUGGAUAUUUUGUUGCCUGUACAAAGGGACAAGAGUAAUAACUAGGUCCAAAACCUAAUCCACAACUUUUAAUCACACACACAUCCCUGUUUUUUUUUUUUUUUUUUUAUCUCAAUUUAUCAACCUAAUCAAUUACUACUACUAUUAAAGCAAUAAAACCCCACAAAAAUGUUAAUCCAUUGACCAAUCAAAAGCCAACAAAAAAGCAUGUAAAAAGGAAAUUUUUUAAACAAAAAAUAAAAGAAGAUCUUAAAAAUAACAAUAAUAACUGAGAAAAGGUCGGUCCCUUGCGUGAGUGUCAAAUCCCCUUAUAUUCUCUCUCUCUUUCUCUCUCUCUCUCUCUCUAUCUCACUAUUUCUCUCUCUAAAACCUUGUUUCACUCUCUCCGAGAUUUCUUCUUUUCUCUCUCUUCUCCCCUCUCUCUCUCUCUAUCUCUCUCUCUCUCUCUAGAGCUCUUCACUUGGUGCGGAGAAGAAAUGCUCCGAAAUUUCAAGGUAAUCCAAACAAGCUGUGAAAAUUCUAGAUUAGUCCCUAAAGCCCCUUAAGUUUUUCUUUUAAUCUCUCUUUUUUUUUCUCAGAUUUGUUGUAGGUUAUCAACGUUCACGGAGUUGGUUCUGGUUGUUUUCUGCAAUUGUCACAAAUUUCGUGCCACGAUUAAAUUUUUAGUAUUCUCGUAUAUACAGUAGUAGUGUUUUUUCUUCUCCUCCUCUUUUUGUUUGAUUUUUUUUUUUUUAAAAAAAAAGUUUUUGUAUCCUAAAAUUAAACAAAUUCGAUGCAAAUUGCUUUCGUACGGAAAAAAAGAGAGAAAAACCCUGUCCUCGAUUUCCCUGCUCUCCGCCAGAAUCAAAAGUUCCUUUUUACUAUUUAAUCAUCUCCUUUUUCUCUCUCGAAGUAAAAAAAAAAAAAAAAAAAAAAAAAAUCCCCCCUCAUUUCUUUUUCCAUUUUAAAAUUUUUCAAGAACAGGGUGUUUUGUUUUGUUUUUUUUUUGUGUUUUAUUUUGGUUAUGAAAAGAAUUGGAUCAGCUUUUAGAAAUCAGAAUCCCUUUUAUGAAAAGAAGGACAUGGGCUAAGUCAUGAUUCCCAUUUAUCAGUCCCUGUCUCUCAUGCUUCCUUAUACUUAACCAACUCCCAAUAGAUUCCUCUCUCUCUCUAUCAUCCUCGGUUUUCUAGCUCUGCCAUUUUAUUUUCCAACCACUCACUUUAUAUAUGCUCUCUAUUUAUCGGUCCAUUAUUAUUAUUCCUUUCAAUCUCUGAAUUACAAUCAUCUUCAUUUCAUCGCAGGAUAGCCGACUAUCGAUUUAAGAAGAAGAAAAAAAGGGAGAGAGAGCAGAAAUUAGAGAAUGGAAGGAGAUGUGUUUUCGGGGCUGAACAACGGGGGAGGAGGGGGAGGAGGAGGAGGAGGAGGAGCGCAGGUGGAUAGCAAGGUGAUGCAGAAUUUCCAGAAGAGCUUCGUGCAGGUGCAGAGCAUAUUGGAUCAGAACAGGCUGCUGAUCAACGAGAUCAACCAGAACCACGAGUCGAAGAUCCCCGACAACCUGAGCCGCAACGUCGGGCUCAUCCGGGAGCUCAACAACAACAUCAGGCGCGUCGUCGACCUCUACGCCGACCUCUCCGUCUCCUUCUCCAAGUCGAUGGACGCCUCGUCGGAGGGCGACUCCGCGGGGAGUAAAUCCGGGCAGAAGCGAAUUAGGCCCGGUUAAAAAACAAGAGAAGGUGUGGAUCAGAGGUGGAUUAUUCUCUUUGUAAGUGUGUUUGUGCUCUCUCUCUCUCUCUCUCUCUGUUUCUGAAGCAGUUCAAUUUUUCUUUAGGAGGAGGGGGGGUACUUACUUUGUAGAACAUAACCUUUGUGGGAAGUUUCCUUUUGUUGGUACUUAUUCGCUUGUAGUUCAAUCAACUAAUUAUGUGCCUUUUUAUGCAUUUUUACAUGUCUUAAUGAUUAAUCCGAGAGUAAUUUUCCCUGGACCUUUUUUCAAGUAACUACUACAAAACAUCUCGCUUGCUAAUUUGGUAAUUAAGCCUUCCAUAAAGGCUUUCUCCAUCAAUCAACAACUAUAGUACAAAAUCACCAAUGGUAGUAGUAGUACCCUAGUGGGGCUUUCCCUGCAAUUAAUCAUUUUUCUCUACUUUUUUCUUUUUUUCUUUUCCUUUUUUUUUUUUUUUUAGCCUCUGCUAGCUGAUCUUUUUAUUUAUUUAUUUAUUUAUUUAUUCAUUCAUAAACUUACAAAAGAGGUUGAGAUGCCCCAUGGAAUCAAGGCCUCUUUUUUUUUAACUUAUAAGAAAAGCACUUGUCAUGCAUCCUGGAUGUUGGUGGGAGCUAGGCAUGUAUCUAUCUGCUCCUGGAAGUGCCAGAGAGGAGGAGGAGUUGUUCAGUUUGUGGGCUGCUUCUCUGAAGAUGCUUUUAGGGCAUCAGCUUCUAUUAUUUUUGGGCUUCCAAUCAUGUAACCCACCCACUAGUGUAGAAUCUCAGAUAAGAGGAGGUGAGGUGAAGCCUUUUUGACCACUAUUUUGGCAUGGCCAAUGCCAAAUUAACCUCCUUGCUCCUCUUAUACAUGUUCCUAGCUCUGUGGGUGCUACAAGAACUGACAUGGAAUAUAAUAGGAGAAGGUAAUAAAGCAGCAAAGAUAAUAAUAAAUAAAUAUAUAUAGUAUAAUAAUGCCAUGGCAAUGGAAUACUACUGCAAGUAUCCAAACACAGUGAUGUCCAAUGACAAGGCCAUGGGCCCAGAGCAGCUCUCCUUUGGGGGAUGAAUAACAACAUCAUCAAUCAUCAACACUUAUCUGCUUAUUUACUUGCCCCUGCACCUGGUAUUCCACAUCAUCAGCCUGCUCUAGUAUUAUCCAAAGCCAAAGGAUCUGUCUUAAAGCAAAUUGUUCAGAAAUAAUUUUAACGCCUCGUCUGUCUCUCGACCUCACGUGCAUGAUGAAGAUGAGAUUGCUGCAAAAUAACCGGUAGAAAUUUAACCUACGACGCCUUGUGUAUAGAAAAUAGUUACUGAUACAGAACAUCGCAGGAGUAGUUUGAAAAAUAUAAUCAUAUCAGGUGUUGCGCUUACUAAUUAGCCGACACGUGCGUUCUAAACACUACCUGCAUAUCGGCAAGCAUCUUGGAAUGUUAGAUCAUUAAUUCAAAAGGUUUGAGCUGUCAGAAAUACGCGAUCAAUUCACUUAAAGCGUACAGAUACAGCGCCCACGAGUCUAGAUUGUGAUUCGGUCCAACCAACUUAACGCCACUUCGAACAUGACUCGGCCCACUUGGUCUCACGCCAUUUCGAAUAUGAGACUUGGCCCAACAUGACCUUCUGUCCAAAGAAUAUAUAUAAUGCUGAUCCAUUUAAGCCGAGAGAGAUUACGCAUAAAUAUGAAUCCAAACUGGUUGAGCUGAUGAGAUUCGACCACCCCUUUCUCUAUGUUGAUAGUUCAGCUGUUCCGAGGGAGGAAGGGGCCCACAUCAAUCCUUCUCGGAAUCACUGCACGGUUGUUGGUUAUUGGCCAUGGAGAGGGAGAGGGAGAGGGAGAGGGAGAGGGAGGGGACCCAUUUUUGAGGGUCCAAUAAUUUGGAGAUUUUUUUGAUCGUUCGCUUCUUACGAAAUCAGGAGGAAUUUGGGUGAAAACGAACUGUGCUUUGUGCAUGCGCAACAUUGUUUGGUGUGACCUCGUUUUCACGCCUCUUUAGCCGCUGAGACCACACUUUAUUUGAGCUACAGUUUACGGCGCAUCUAUGUAUCUUUCCAUUGGUGGAAAUAUCCACGUUGAGUGAUCUGGACCGUGUUGAAUAUAAAAUAUUAUAAAAAUAUUAUUUUUUAAUUAUUUUUAGUUUUCUAAAAAUAAUAAUUGUUUCGUAUCAUUUAAUCAAUAAUUUAUUAAAAAUAUUAUUAUUUGAUAGCUUAAGUUAUUAAAAAAUAAAGAUAAUCUCAAUAUAAAUAUUAAAGAAUUAUUUUUUGGCAGUUUAAGUUUGAACCGGUCAGUUUGACCUCGAAUCGGUUGGACCAACUAGUUUAGACCGGUCGAAAUUUGGCAACUUUAUAUUACAAUAAGGUUCAAUCAUGGUUUUACCUCGGUUAAUUCUAUGACUCUAAUACGUCUUCAGUCACUGGUUCAAUUUGUGGAUCAGUUUCUCUAAAUACUAAAAACUAUAUAUCGAGAGAAAAUUAGUAUAGAACUACUUGUUUAGGACAAACACUUUAAAAGAUAUUUCUAACAAAGCAGUGCAUUUUAAUAGAAAGAUAGAUUUUAACAUCAAAAGAUUUAGAAAUUUAUAAUUCAAAUAACUAAACCAAAUUAAUAAUUAAAGGUGAAAAAAAUGGUCUUAUUUUUUCUAGAAAGACCUAUUGUCUCAUGAAAAAUUUCACCUAAAAACUAACGAAAUGUAAAAGAAGGGCCCACAAAAAAAAAAAAAAAAAGAAACNACUAAAUUGUUGCACUCACGAGCCAAUCCAUGACGCAACGAAUCACAACCACGACACAUAUCUAUCAACAGCUACUCAAUUAAACUUCGAGUUUGCUAAACGCAAACGCAAACGCAAUGCCCUGCUUUUUAUAAAAGCGCUUUUGUUUGGGUAAUCACAAGCACCCACUCAUCAACAAGAUUUAAAUAUAUAUUAGAGUAAUUUCACAUCAAAUUAAAUAAUGCCCUGGUCAUGAGCUUUGUCUAUGUUCCACAAACUAUGCCUUUAAUUGUUUAUACUUUGUAUGCUUAGUUUAGGUUGUUGUUUAAGUGGUAAAGGUGGGCUUUUCAUUUGUUUAUUUUGUGUAGUAAACUUAUAAUAGAAAAGUGAGGUGGAGAAAGGGAAAGAUUCCAACCUACUCACAUACUAGGAAACCUUUAUUAUUAGAUUAUUAGGGCUUUAAAUUAAAAAUUGGUUGAGUAAAUGAAGGAACCAAAGUGAGUUUCUAGGUCUCCAAAACUUAUCCAAAUUUGGGAUAAAACUUCUGCCGGGAGCUUCUCAAUAACUCUUCGUUGGAAAGCUCUCGAUCCACAGUUAUAUAUUGCUUUUGUUAUUAUCAAAGAAUUCAUUAGGUAUUUUUAAUACUAAAAUUGAAAAAUAAAAUCUUUUAAGAGAAAGAUUAUAAUUAUUAGAUAGAGAUAAAACUAGCACAUAGCAGCAUAUCAGAGCGUCUCACUUAGGCGUCCUUGGAGAAAUCUUUAAAGAUACAUUGCCACACUUGUGUACCGAGGUGUCACAAGUUCACACACGUGUUAACGCUCGAUGCUCUUAAUGGAGAAAAAAGGGAAAAGUGUUUUUUUUUUUAUUUUUUUUAGCGUGAAUGCGGUUUUUAAGACUAUUGAAUUGAUGUAUUAGCAAAUAAAAAUUAAUAUUUUCAGAGUUAAUCUUAAUAUUUUUAAAGUAGAGGCAUUUUAUUUAAUUACGGUUGAAAUUUUUUACUUCGACAAUAUAAAAAGUCAUUAAUUUUCUUAGCAAAUAUAUAUAUAUAUACUGUAAUUUGAAAUUGAGUGUGUGUACUAAUAAAAAAAAUUUAUAUUUAUUUAUGUUAAUAUAUUAACAGUUUAGAAAAACAAUAUUUUAAAAGAUCUAUAGAAAUGCUUGGUCAUAGUUAUAAUAAUAGAUAUAAUAAAAUAAUAAUCAUCAUUUAGUAAGAGUGUAAGAACAAAAUUGUUUAUUUAAAAUUAUCAUAUUAUACUUGCUAGAUCAGCAUCUCACGUAAAUCAAAGAGAUUAGCAUAUGGAGUAUUUAUUAUAAUUCUUUAUUUUAUUUUAUUAUUAUUACUGUUUUGGUCAAUCACCUUCAGCCCCCAUGACCAGUGUAAUAGCCGUGAUGAGACGUUCGUAAUGUAUGAUUUUAUAUUGCUUUAAGAUUCGAGAUUACAGUAUAGGCGGUUUAAAUCUCCGUCCAUUAUGAUGGGUUAUUAUCAUUAGGCAAAACAUUUUAAUCAUUUUAAUUAUAAAGUUUUGAAUGUAUUGAUCUUUUUUUUUUUUCUAUUUUUAUUUUUCUUCUCGUGAUAUUUGUAGCUCCAUAAUUAUUCGGUGGGAUAGAUUUAUACUCCAUUUUGCUCGUUCUCCUAUUCUUUGUUUUGGAUCUGCUUUUCAUUUUGACCGUUUCAAGUACUGCACCUUUGGAUCUUUUGAGUACUAUGCUAGGAAACUUAACUGUAACUUAACUGUAUUUUUUCAACACACGUGACAUGAUUUAUAUGAUUAUUGAUUGGUUUUUUAAAGUACAGGUUGAUCCAAAUUAUAAAUGACUCUCUAGUUGGUGAAUCUAGGCAAUGCAACGCGGGUCGACAACAACGUGAUCGAGACGUUCCGAAAGAGCUUCGUGCAGGUGCAGGGCAUGUUGGAUCAGAAUCGUUUGCUGAUCUCAACGAGAUCAACCACAAUCACGAGUCGAAGAUUGCCGACAACCUCGAUCGCAACGUAGGGCUCAUCAGGGAGCCCAACAGCAACAUCCGGCGCGUCGUCGGCCUCUACCCCGACCUUUCCGUCUCCGUCGCUGAGUCUGUGGAGCCGACUCCACCGCCAUCGGAGGGGGGGCGCAGCCUCGAGGCCCCAGAGCAAGAGGAAUCGGCGGGGGUAGAGAAAGAGGAAGAGAGAGGAAAAAAAGCAAUGUAAUAGAAUACAAUAUAUGACAGGUCACUGAUCUCUCUCGGUAUCUUCAUCUUUUUAUUUCCCGAGUUCUCGUAGCUAUCUGUUUUGUUCAUUUUUAUAAUUAAAUUCAAAAUUUUAAAAUUCUCGAAUAACAUUUGUUAAGUUCUUAGUUAAUUACGACCGUAAACAAUCGAUGGCACUCAUUGUUUUAAGUUGGAGUAUUUAUACCAAAGCAGUGUUUUGACACACUGAUAUGUUAGAAGAUGCAUUAACAGCUAUAGCGAAAACAUGAAUUUCAAAUUUUAUUAAAGUUAAAAAAAAAAGAAAAACAACAUAUUUUUUGUCAAUUAGAAGUGUGAUAAUUUUUUAAAAAAAAUUUAGUUAGACUAAAUUGGCACUUAGAUGACAUAUGGGGCCCAGAUUUAAUCUAGCCAGGCUGGGAGAAGCACAAAUGAUUUUGUACAGCUGGAAAAAAAGAAUUUUAAAAAAUUGCCACCAAAUUGUAAAAGCGGUAAAAUACUACAAUGAAAAAAAAAAGAAGUUAAAAAGUGAUAUAUCUAUGCCCCAGGAACAGGACAAGGGAGGGAACUUCAAAUGGGUUUGUUCUUCUUAGAAGAGAGAUUUAAAGCCACAGAAAAAAAAAAAAGAGAAAAAAAUAAAAAAAAUGCUUAUCUCCACUUUGUUUUCUUCUCCAUGUGUGCAAUAAAUGCCACAAAUGAACUGAGUUUCUCUAUACAAACAAUUAGAUUCCACCAACUCUAUGUUGAUUGCUCAGUUGUCGUAAAGUGGACCCCACCAUGGCUUGUAUCUUAUUUUGAUUUUCUGAGUGGGUAAAUUUCAUGACCACUAGUUCCUAUAUUUUCAGCUAGAUUUUAUUUUAGUUUUCAAAAUCUUAAUUUCAGUAUAAGAUUAUUUUAUUUUUUAAAAAAUUUUUCAUUGUAGUCUCUAUGUUUGUUUACUAAUGAGGAUAAACUAUUACCUAUACUUAAUACAACUGUAAAUUUAUGUAUCAUACAUUCGUCGAUUCUUUAUUCAUCGCAUCUUUCAGCAUCAAGUAAUAAUCUUUUUUUUUGUUACGAAAUUAAACUAUUAAAUAAGAAGUAUCAAAUGGGUGAAGAUUACCGAUUUAAAAUGAAUUUUGAUGUAUAAAUAUCUUAUUCGGUAUAUUAUUAUAAUUUAUUCGGAAAGCUUGUAUAUAUUAGUAGAUAAAGGGUGUAAUUAAAUGUCUAGAAUUAAAUAUUAUAUUCGGCCUUAUAAUUUUUUUUUUAAAAAAUAAGAUAACUUAUUCCGUCUUUCAAACAGGGCCUAAUAGAAAGCAAUAUUUUUUAUUAUAAAGUAACGAGUAUAAAGAAAUAAUUCUACAAGUUUACGACUAAAAUUUAUUACUUAAAAGUUCAAGAAUUAAAACAUUAAAAUUAAAAGUUUGGGGGCCAAAAUAAAACUAGACUUGGAGUCCAGGGGCUGGUAGUGCAAUUUAGCCAAUUUGGAAUCAUCAACUUAAUUGGAGAUAUUUGGACUUAUGGAGGGAGAGAUCCACAUGGGUUAUUUACCAAAUUGGGUUAAUUCUUGGGUUGGGAACACAUUGUGUGCUUGCUCUUUUAUAGAUCUAGAAUUGCUCUUCUAGCACCUAAAGUGGUUUCCAAGGGGAAUAGAUAGAGAGGGUCAGGCCAAAAGCAUGCCCUACAAAUUAACUAUGGUUAGGUUAGCUCUCACCCUUGUGGUUUGAGAUAUUAUAAUCUAAUCCUCUAGUUUGUUUUAUUAUAUACAAAAACAUAUACUAUGUAAUACUACUUCAUAACCCAAAUUUAACAGUAUAAAAAAAAUGUAUUUUUACAGACAGUCUUUAGUGCAGAGAACAAAGAGUUUGCUGAUUGGUACUCGAGCUCUCAAAGUUGAAGGGCAGUUGCUUUACAUUUUCAGCUAAUUUUAUUAAAAAAAAAGAAACAUAACAUAGAGCCUGCUAUCUUUCCGAGGUGCUAAAUUUAAGUCUCCGUCGAGAGAACUUCCGGAAAAAAGAUAUAGAGAGUUUAGUUUUCAGUUCUUUUUAUUUUUUUUAAAGAGAACCUAUAGAAAGGAGGACAAAAAAAAAAAAAAAAUGUUAGGUGAUCUGUAUGCAGGGAAUCCCAGGGAAAGUCCUCAUUAAUAAAAAAAUAGUAAUAAAAAAAAAAGAACAAAAAAAGUUGUUAGAAGGUCACUUACAUCAUUCCCAAUUAGUUUAAUCCUAAUCUCUUUGUUUUUAAGGAAACAAAUGGCCCAAGCAUGUACUUGGUGCAAAGAUACUAAGCCAAGUCAAACACAUGUGGGACAAAUUAUUCAUCAAAUUAAUACUACUACUUAUUUGGAGAAUCUGAUGUUGCACGUAUCAUUCUAAUUGCAUGUGUCUCGAUUCUUCCUUUUGCUCUCUCACCACUUUACUACCGUGCAAAAUAAUUUUAUUUAUUAUACAUAACUAUUUAGGAAAAAGUUUUCUAUGUAAUCGAUGUUCUGUAUAAACAAUUGUUAUCUAGAGUAGUUGGUAUUUUUUUUAAGAAAAAUCAAUUUGAGAAUACUCAGUUCCAACACAAAUGGGACAAUGCAAUUGUCUUGGUAUGAUCUAUUACAAAAAGGCCCAAGAUAAAAUGGGCCGGCCCAAUACUGGCCCAUUUAGAUAACUAUAUUAAGCAAAAAAGUAGAGCCCGGCCCAUUUAUGCGUCUAGGUACAAAAGCCUAGAUGAAAUUUUUCGUAAUUAUUUUAUCGCUGGGACGAGCCCAAAAUGGCCGGGUCGGAUCUGGUUGGAACAUAUAAAAAAAAGAGGAAAAAUUGCGAAGUUAUUCAUCUCUGGUUUUAUUAGUUUGAGUGCGAGUCGCAAAAACCUAGAUCGAAAAGACUGAACAAAAGUGGUUCGGGUCAGAUUUGCUCAGGUCUAGUGAAGUAGAUUGAUUGCAAAAGCUGACACGUCAAUUGUACUAUGAGUUACACGCUGUGACGCUGAGAUACCAAUAAUAUAUUUACUCAUUCGGGAUCGAAUAUCUCUCUACUGUCCAGGAACAGAUAGUUUGGUGUCACAUUAAAAUGUGGGAUAAAGUCCCAAGCAAUGUGAGAUGGUAUCAUCUCUCCAUGCCCGGAUAAAUUAGAACAAGAAAAUCUGCUGGUGAGAUAAGGAUCUGGCAAAAUCAUCUCCACAAUUGACUUCAAUGGGGGAUGGAAAAGACAAAAAGAGGGGUACGAUUGUAUGCUUGUGGAUCUUUCGGUUACUCUAUGUUGUAGAGAUGUUGCAUGAAAGGUGACCUCACUUUAGCUCGUUUCAACGAUGGCGAGGAUCCGAAUCAUCGCCAUCCGGUUCGGUCGAGUCGGUGAUUCCAUCAUCUUUAAGUUACUAAAGUGAUUUGAAAUGGCGAUCGAAUCGUUUUCAUUUGCAUGCAUGGUAUUCUAGUUGGAAAAGCAAAGUUGCAUAUCCGUUUUCGCAAGAGUUGGAUGGGAUUUAUUAAAUCUGAUCAAAUUAAAAUUAAAAAGAAAAACACUCUUAGUUGUUGUCGCAUCAAAUAUCAUUUCAUGUUCACCACUAUAAGAGGAAAGCGAAGGGAACGAAUUAAAGGUUGGAUGAUCGGUAAUAAUGUAUUUGUGACACUCCAAUAAUCCCGCAUCAGAUGGUUAUGACUAGAUAUGAAAAAUAUAUAAACUUAAUUAGGGUAGACAUAAUAACUGGGUUUAAGUAUUUUGGACCGAUAGUUUUGGCCCAACGAAUUAUUAUUGCUAGUGGGUUGUAUCGAUAUAUUUGGUAUUAGAGCUAAUUCAUCGGUCGAAAAUAUGAGAUGAGUUUUGACUGAGUCUGGAUCGGGUCGGGUCGAUAUAUUUGAUAUCAGAGCCAGUUCACCAGCCGAAAGUAAGAAAUGAAUUUUGGCCGAGUCAGGGUUGACAAGUCUCACAUCGCUUAAUAAUUUUGGACUGUGUGUGUAUUUAGGACUGAUGAGGACGUCCGGGGGAGUAUGUGACACUUUAAUAAUCUCAUAUCGGAUGGUUAUGACUAGAUAUGGAGGUAUAUAAAUUUGAUUAGAUUAGAUAUAAUAAUUGGGCUUAAGCAUUUAAGCCGGUUAUAUAGAUAUUGCAUCAAAUUUUAUGUUUGCAAAAGUUGAGGUCAAUAGUAGACCCAUGGCAUUGAAUUAUAGUGUGAUUUGGGCCCAGCAAGUCACACUUUUAUUGGUAGGCAAUGGAAUAGUGCCAUACACAGCAGUGAUUCCACUAGUGGAAUAUCCGUGGCUUUGCUUGAUCCAUUAGUGGGAGUCAUGUCUUGGUUGAUUUAUGCCUCUUGGGUGGAUCAUGAUCUGUGCUUGUUAUCGUUAUCAUCAUUAUUAUUGUUUUCGACUUUAUAAACUCCGCCUGUACGGACGUGCGAGUAUAUUCGAUAUAACCGUUAUUUUAUAAAAUUUUGAGACAUUUGAGAUUAGAACAAUCAAUCGCUUGCUCGGGCUAAUAGUUGCUAUCCGAAUUGCCGUCCUUGAGGUCGGGAGUUCGAACUCCAGUUGUGCCCUAACGAAAAAGGCUUACGCCCCCUACUUUUUGGAUAUAAGAUAAUAUUUUAUAUGCCAGACGAGUUGGAGCCUGCUGACGAGAUAAAAAAUAAUGAUAAAAAAUCCUCUAUUGGAAUGCUAAGGAAUGAGAAAUCACAAUGGGCCAAGACGGCCCCAAGGCCCAAAAGCCCGCAAAUUAUUGUGGCCCACUGACAUGGGUUGUUACAAUUGGUUCUCAAUAGUCAAUACUGUUCAACUAAAUAUUAUGUGAAUAGUUAAUUAAAAAAAGAGUUAAUUUUCAACUACUGCAGAAGCAUUAGUAUCAAAGUAAGAAUUUUGCUUUCCAGGUCCAUGGAUGCAGAGGCUUGGGACACUUAUCCGACAAAAUAUAUAAUUCCGUGAUGAUUCUAUUCACUCCUCCGUAUCACAUAAAAUACAGUACACAAUUAGAAUAAAAUAUUUAUGGAGUAGUUAAUUAAUGCGCCAUUCAACACAGCGAAACUCAGUUAUAUAAACUAGGCGAAAACACAAACUUGCUCAAAGGGAGAUAAAUAUAGUGAGAGAGGCACAUCAAAGCAUUUCACACGACUCUCUCUUUUUCUCUCUCUCUCUCUCUCUCUCUCUCUCUCUUAAAUCCACUUGAAAUUUAAAGGGUUAAUAAAGUUGAGGAGAUAGAGAAUGACACAUAGACAAGCAAUAAAGCAAAGUAAGGGGGGGAUUAAAGAAGGCGAUUGCACGUGGGGUGGGCAGCGUUCACGCGUGGCAGACAAUGUCAGCACGCAGGUGCACGGAACAAAAUAUCUGCUCUCCAUCACUAAAGCGUUCGUUAAUUUCUAUCACACACACACACACACACACACACACACACACACACACACACACACACACCAGCUUCUUGGAUCCGGUUCCACUUUGUAUUAUUCUCACUUUUAAUAUACAUGUCCAUGUAUAUAUAUAUAUAUAUUCUUUACAUGAUUGUGUUCACGCGACCCAAUUUGGUGGGUGGCUGGAUCCAUGUAAAUAUAGAUCCGACCCGAUUGUUAAUUGAGUACCAUUUUCUCAGGGAAAUCUCGAAGAUCAAACUUUGUAAGGCCGUAUUUGGAUAUCUGGACAAGUUAUGAGCAUUCCCUUUUUUUUUGAGGGAAAAAAACACUAGGACGUAAACAAAUGAGUAUAGGCCGGAUGUUAAUUUGUGCAUGCACAUUAGUAGACGUGCUUGGAUAGGCUAUGAGUACUGUAAACGAAAAGGUGCAAACAUAGCGAGUUAGUUGGAACGCAGAGAACUCACAAGAUCAUACCCAAAGUGCUCCACUUAUAAAAUUUUCGAUGUUCUAAUCACGGAGUUCGAGCGAACUGGAGUGUGGAGAGGUCACCACAAUCAGUGAAGUCAUACACACACCCCAAAAUUGCCGAAUGCCGCCCUAAACGGAUCGAAAAAGUUCCCGCCCGAACCCGAUUUUGCAGGCCUAUAACACAUAAGAAGGACAAAAGAAGUAAAGGGGGAGAAGUUAAAAAGCAGAAGCUGCUAAUGCUGCUGCUGCUGCUGCUAGUCUACUUUGAUUCGUUUGCUCCUCGGGAUCGCCCCACCGUGUCUUCGAUCUCUGUCCCUGUCGCUUCUCGUCUCUCUGUCUUUCUCUUUCUCUUUCUCUUUCUCUUUCGCUGCUCCCAAAACCGUGCGCUUUAGUUUUUAAGGAAAAGAAGAAGUAACGUGAUGGGCCAAAACCCACAUCGUCGACGCGUCGUUUUCAUUGGAUUUGGAUCCCUCGUAUUUUCCUACCGCAUGGCACGUAGCAAAAUGACUUCACAUCCACACUAUUAUUAUUAUUAUUACUAUUAUUAUUAUUAUUAUUAUUAUUAUUAUUAUUAUUGGUAAGAAUAAUAUUUUAGAUUAUAAUUAAGACAAAAUUAUAUAAAAUUUGUCUGUCAAUACUUGUUUCUUUUACUCCCCUUGUCAUUUAAAAACUUACACUUUCUUUUUAAAAAAUAAAAAAUAUUCACAAAGGAUACGCUGUGACAAAAUGAUCAAAUUACUCAUCAUCUUCUUCGAAAUGGACGUGGACGAAGAGGUUGGCAAGAGCGAGGGUGAGGCGAUGCGGCCGAGGAUGAGGAUGAGGAAAAAGGAGAGAUUCAGAAGCUUUUUAGGUAUAAAACAUAGGAUAUAAACGGAACUCUAACGGAGCACUGAUGGCGGGUCAAAGUGAACAUUUUUUAUUUUAUAAAGGGGUAAAGUGUAGAUUUUUGAAUGACAGAAAAGAAAAAGUGAAAAAAUGAAUAUUGACAAAAAUUUUUUCUAUAAUUUAGCCUAUAAUUAACUGUAUCAAUCUAUAACUCCGUGGUAUACUGGUACGUGAUCAAGUUUUUAUUGUGAAUUCACCUUUUGAAUACAUUGUAAAAUAUAUAACUUGUUAGUACGCUCUUCAGCUGAAUACGUAGGAUAUAUACCCAAAUUAUCCCAUCAAGCUCUUUUACAACUAUAAAUUAGGUUACACAUACUAGUUUGUUUAUUAUUGGAAAAGCAUUGGAAAAUAAUUAAGAAAAUACCUUAGAUGAUAUCAAAUAACAAAGUUAUAAGCUUAAUUAAUGGUAGGAUAUAAAAAUACACAUUAGUUGACAUGUUUUGUUCCACUAGCAUGUAGAACAACAUUCCCGACUUACAAAGGUAAAAAAUAAAAAAUUAUUCUAGUGAGAUAUAUAUUGGCCAUGGUCAAAUAAUCCGUAAAUUGAAAACUAACAACAAGACCGACCGUCCCUAGAGCAAGUCGCAAAGGACUUGAUGGUUGGUAUUUGAGACCCAAGUUCGAAUCCUAGUUGAUUCAUAUUUCUAGCUAAGUUUAUUUCUUAAUGAAAUAAACGAAGCGGGUAACAUGUUACCUAUCUCUUUAAAAAAAAAAAAAAANGAAAAAAAAAAAAAAAGAGAGGGAAAACAAAAGGUGGCCUUCAGGGAGCCCAAAAGUCGUGUUGUGCCUGUUGCAUCCCAUCCUUGGGAAAAACAUGUUACCUAUCUCUCAAAAAAAAAAAAAAAACUAACAACAAGACUUUUUUGCCUCCCUAGGACCUACCCAAAAAAAGAAAAAUUUUAAGGAAGAACCUUUCUUAGGCUUCAGUCCAAAAUUAGAUUUAAUUAUCUUGUUAUUCCAAAUUAUUCUCAGACAAAAAGAAUAUAUCAGUGUUUUUGAUCAAACUAUAUAAAUAAGAUGCCAAAAUAAUAAUAAUCUAUUGGAUUAUUGGGUGGUCCAACACAAGCAAUAUCAAGAGGUUUAGAUAAUGUUGACACAAGAGAUGCUUUUGAAUAAUUAAUUCAAACAAAAAAAGGUAUCAGAAACUUCCCAGUUACUUGAAUAAUUACGGAUGACGAUGGCGCUUAAUUAGAGUAAUUUCGUUUAAUGUUAUGUUACGAGUUUUUUUAUUCAAAGUAAGUGCACUUAAAAUUCGGCGCAUAAGUUUAAUUUGAACAAAAAGCUAAUAAAUGUGGAUAUCAAUAAUUGAGUACUAGGAAAGAGAAAUGUUGCUAUGUAAAAAAAAAAAAAUUAUGGAGGGGGGUGGGUACAAAAGAUCCUAAUCUGAGAACAUACAAAAUAACCAACUAAUCCAAAGUUGGAUUAGUUGAAGAACUAUGAAACAUAGCCCUUUUUAUCUCACACACAGGGAUGGUGUUUCCACUCUCUAGCAUCUUACUUUAGUCCUCGAACUAAAGCACUGAUGCUACAUAUGGAGGGUAAUAAAAAACCAUUGUGUUCUUGAGAAUUUUAGUGAAUAGAGCUUCUCCACAAUGGAAAUACUGGUUAUGUAUGGAGCUUGUCAAAAUUAAUAUUGAACUUAAAUUUGUACCGUUAUCGACCAAUUAUUAACAUAUGAUGACUUCAGGUUGUACAGUUUAGUGAAGUUGAAGUUGUAAAAGUACUAUUCUCAAAAAAAAAAGUUGUAAAAGUACUCAGACAUAUUCGAAAGUUGAAGAAUCGUAUCAAUCUUCCAUGGCAGCUUAAAUCACGCAGACGAGAUAAAUCUCACAUCGAUCGAUCCUGCGAGAUAUGCCGACCCACGACAUGCUUGACAAGAGCAGGAGGGUUUAGAGUUCAAGCCCACCACUUGCUCCACCACUAGGUACUUUGAAGAUUAUAGGGAUCUUUGAUGUUCAAUAUAGGUAAAGCCUUUUAGGAUAAGUGAUAGAGCCAUUAAAAAAAGGUGGAUGAAGGGUCAAAUUUGGUUUAGCCAAUUACCUUAAAUUCUAUUGGGGACUCAAUAUGCUGGAUAAUAUUUGGACCCACAAAUUCUGUCAAGUUUAGCAGCAGCUUUUAGCUAGUUAACAAAAGAGGCUAAUAAGUGAAAGAAACUACUGAUUAAUCAUAGAUGAUUUAAACUCAAAAGGUUCAUUUAUAAAUAGCCUUAUUAUUAGAUAUUCUGAAACAAUUGUAUUUUUGUUCAGAGAGAUAGAGAUGACAAGUUACUUGCUUCGUUCAAUUUUUUUAAAUAAACUUAACAAGAUAUGUAAAGUAAUUAGCAGGCCAGCUUCGCAUUUGAAAGCUCAGAUAUUAAUUAUCAAGUUUUUAGCCAACGGUAGUGUAUAUAUAUAGCAAGUGAAAUUUGUAUCAAGGUAGAAAUUCAUAGCAUUUAAUAUAUCUACUGCUUUUUGCCAAAGUAAUCUUAUUUCCCUUUUGCUUUAGCCUCACACAAGCCCCAUCUCCAAAUUCUACAAAAAGCACGCUUCCUAGGCUGGGAAACUUUUGAUCCUGCAAUUUAAAAAAUCACCAAAGGACCACCCUACUCCUGCGAAAGGCCUACGAGAUUACAUGAUUAGUGCACCACCCUUCAACAUUAAUCCAAAGGCUAAGUCACCUUUUUGCUCCCAUGUGUGUUNAAAAAAAAAAAAAAAAAAAAAAAAACGGACAAAAGGGAUACAUCCAAAAGCCAUUUGAUGCUUGUCUUAUAAAAAAUGUGCUCAUGAAUUGCUUUAGUAACUUCAUAACUUGCUUAGAUAAAUCUUAUGUUAUAUGUUUUUUUUUUUUUUUUUUUUUUUCUAUUUUUUUAGACUCAUGUGGACUUAGAUUUGAGCGAGAGUGGGUUUGGCUUACUAGGCUCCGAGCCUUAAUUUGGGCUAAUGUGUUCCACGCUCAAUCUGUAACAAGGAUCAAGUUAUAAGCUGCAUCGCGACGCAUGGCGAACUUGGCCGCGUUUUGAGUCAGCUUCCAUGUCCCACAACAACAUUGGCAUCGAAGAAUCAACUUCUCAUCCAAGUCAUAUAUAUAUAUAAAAAAAAAGAGAGUGAAAAUAUGUGGAAUUGAACCCCUCAACUACAAGCAAUGUUCAAAUAGAUUCCCAAAAUUUUCCUUUGAUCAACUUUAUUGAAAGUUUUAUUAAAUUUUACAAUUUUUAUCAGCUUUUUAACUUGUUAAUUAUUAAUAAAAUUCACGUAUCUUUUAGCUUGAAAAGUAAUUGACAGUGGUAGUCGUAAAAUUUUGACAGAUUCGCUGCCUAAUUUAACUAAAAUUUGAAUUCCAUCGACUGAAAGUUAAAAAUUUUCAAAAGAAAAAAAUUAAAAUAGUUUUUAGUUGAGGGGUUCACCGUACAAUUAAUAAAAGGUGAAAAAGAGAGACGGACAAAUUAACCACUUGCUGAGAUCCAGCCGUGCAGAGCGACACUCCAGGUGUUCGACGAAAUGCUUGUCCCAAACUUUCACUUAAAAACUCCGACAGCUAUGUCCUGUGCAUCAGCCACGAUGGCGCAAGCACAAGCAACAGAGGAAGUGGUAGUGGCCACCUGAGAUGCCCGUGGAAAUUAAUGUACCAAAAAUGAUACACCUUUGCUGCAUUUCCACGUGCAUCGGCAUAUUCCUAAAUGCAAUCAACUAAAACCCAACUCUUACAUGCUCCCACUUGUUCAAGGCUACAUUGAGCUCUAAUACUAUGCAAAAAGGUUUGAACCUCUAAAAUCAAUUUGUCAGACUCUGUACAUUCCAAGAGGUUCUGUGUUUCAUUCCCGCGUCUAUCAUAUAAUGGCGCACAUUUCUGCUCGUUAUGAUUUAUCCGAGCUCCGUUGCCGUACGAACCAACGUGUAAGAACUAUUUCAAAGUUGUUUUGUUCUUAUGAAAAGGGUAAUUAAACUAUUGUGGUCUCACUUGAUUUGUGGUCUACGAUUGGCGCCCCUUAAUUACAGGCGUUACGAAUUGAGGGUUUAUCUAGUGAGCCCUUUUACGGUGUAAAUUGUUCGACAAUUAAAGUGACUUACGAGGUGGGUUAUCCCUUUCCAGUGCCACGUGAAACGCAAGUGUUGUUUAAGUCUAAUCCUUCCUAUCAUCUCCUGAAUUGCAUUAAUUAAGCAAAGCCUUGUUUGGUAAUUGCGAGAACAUACUUGUCCCUUAUUAAGGGCCAUUUUUUGUACCGUACCGAGACCAAAAGAAGGAAAGAGAUUACAUAUAUAGAUUUUAAUAAUAUGAACCUCUUAUAACAAUCUCAUAUGUGGAUAAUAAUCCAAAUUAAGUGCGCUCUAGUUUGUAAUUAAAAGGCCACUACAAGUUGAACCCAAGGGACUUUUCCUAAAAAGGUUAAGCAACCAAUAAUUGGGAUCCGAACAAACCUUCCCCUUUCCUCUCAAGGGACCAAAACAAUCCAUCCCAAUCCCAAUCCUAUUUGCUGUUCCUUCGCCUUCUCCAUCUGUCACCUCCAUCAACAAAACAAAUUGCUCUAAACCGCUCAAAAAUUAUUGUCUGGACCUCUUCCCCCACAUCUCGCGCUAACUAUCAAACAAUCUACUCUUUCAUCGGACCACUCUUUCCGGCCCUGGUCAUUGUAAAAUAAGUUUUUGAUUAUCAAAACGGCAAAAGUUCACCUAAAAGUGGUGCACGAAAAGCUUUCUCUAUACCAGAUAUUUUAUAUAAGAAUACCAGCACUCAAAUUAGAAACCAUGUUUAUGGAGAAUUUCUCUCACAGUAGAUUUCUCGUGUGAAUUUCUUUUUGCAUUAGGGUCAAUUUGUUUUAUCGAGAAUGAAGUUUAGAUCGAAUAGGUUUUCGAAUGGAGCUAGAUGUCACAGGCUCGUUUGGUCCGUGCAGCGCUCGCCUUCCUUCGCGAAGUGAGCAAGUCUAUCUUUCUCCUUGCUAAGUCAGGACCUACUCGCCCUAGACUAAGAAUAAGAGAGAUAAAGAAAGUUCUUCUAUUAUUUUGAAAUAGAGAUUACAAAUAAGGAUUCUGAGUUGAGGAGGGUGGAGGCCACAACUAUUUAAAGGUUACUCGCCGCCCAUAAAGCAAAUGAAAAGAUACCAAGUGGCAUAAAGAUACAAGUCAAAAAGGAAGGUUACGAGCUCUCAAAGUCCUAAUAAAUAAGACUUCUAGAAAUAUAGAAACUCUAAGAGACUUCUCGGUUCCCUCUCGAGGUCCGCAUAGAAGUUUCUAGAAAAUCCAGGCAAAACCUCCUAGAUAUCCGCUUUAGAGUUUGGGUGAUUGCAAAAAAAAAUUUCGGCGAAAAUUUUUCUAAGUCCUGACAUAGAGUUCAGAUGAACGAGACGAAAAUUGUGAAACUAAAGUUUUUCUAGUUUUGCCUUUUGUUUUAUCGAAGAUAGAGUUAUGAUAAACCAACUAACGAAGAUAAAUAUCUAUUUUUACUAAUUUUCACGUAAAAAGCUAUGGAUAUCUAAUGGGGUAAGUCUCCAAAGAAGUGGAGUGCGCAUUCCUUGCUUGAAAAAGACAGUUUCGGAAUCCUAAGAAAUUACUUCUUCAUCUCCCCCCAUCCAUCCAGAUCCAAAUUAAAGGAGAGGAGAAGAGAUUGGAAUCCCCUCCCCACCCGUGCGCCCCCCUCUCUCUCUCUCUCUCUCUCUCUCUAUCUCUGCUAUUUUUUUAUUUAUUUGCAAAGUGGUCCCCCAACAAUACAUUAAUUACUUAAACAUACACCUCACCACACCCGUGCCCCGCAUCUCGUCCUAAUCCUGUACAAGAACUUGCCUUUAUUCGCCACCUUGGAAUACUAAUAAUUUAAUGAGAUCCGUACAGAUAUAGUAAGUAGCUGGCUUUCCGCAAAGAACGUCGUACCCCCUCUUGUCACGAUAACCCUCUAUUUUUAUCUACCUGCCCUUUAUUUGCCCACGUUCCUGUUAAAAUAUCUACUAUUAUUCAUUGCUUCAUUUAUUGUAAUUUUACCUUCUCUCGAAAUUUAAAUAUUAUAAAUUAUCGUAAUUAAUUUCGACUCGUUCUACAUCAAGCUGAUCACCCAAUUUUUUUUUUAAAAAAAAUUGAAUAAUAAAAAGCUUUAGAUUUUACAUUAUUAUUUUUUUGCCAGGCAAAUAAUAUAAUUGGGAAUAUUGUGAAAUUCAGUUUGAACUAAAUUUUUUCAACUAAACUAGACUUCAAAUAAAAAUUAUUUUUCUUCUGUAGUUCGUCAGUGUAAAUGUGAAAGUGAAAUUCCCUCUUGUUCUACUGUUUAUUUGGCGAAAAAUAAAAAACGUAAAAAUUAAAGAUGUGUAAGAUAAAUUAAUAUUUUAUUAUUUAGUUAUUUUUUCCUAAUUGACUUUGCUAAUUGACUUUUAACUGUGUUGGAGCGAAGUCAAUUACGGUAUUUUGAAGAUUUUGAUUUGCGAACGAAUGUGAAAUUAUAACGAACCAAAUUAUGAAAGUGAACAUUUAUGGCUGAUAACACUUUUGCCACUCUCCGCUUUUCAUAAAACAAACACGCCCGAAAAUCUAUUUCAAUCUAAACUUUCUCUACGGUAAAACAAGAUAAAAUUAAGAUUUUUAAAAUAAGAUUUUAAAUUAUAGAUCAAUUUAAAAUAAGAUUUUUAAACAUUUGUCGGUUAAAAUUAAAGAUUUAAUUAAAUGUAACAAUUUUAUUAACAAUUAAUUAAUUUAAUUACUCUUACUGAUAUCUGUGAGUUAAAAAGUUAGGAAUUUCAGAAUUAAAAGAUCAUAAGGGCAACUGAGCCAUUUACCAUUACAGAAACCUAGGACCAAACCGAUGGUUGAUGAUGAUUGUUAUUACUCCCUCUAUGACAAUGAUGCUAUAAAUUCGUGCAGUGAGUGGUUUGAAGCAUUUAAUAGUUCGGAGUGACAAUACAUGGAUGGGUAUUAUUAGCUAAUUAUUGAACGGUUAGGGCGAUGUUUAGUACAUUAAACCCAUUAAUAAUUCGGAUUAUAUUAAUUUAAUUAUUUGACUAUAGAUCCUAGCUAUACAUUAAUUAAAUACAUGAUGUUCUACUGUAGGGAAAGAUUCAAAACAAAUACAGCAUAUAUUUGCAUCUAUAUAUAUAUAUAUAUAUAUAUAUAUAUAUAUAUAUAUAUAUAUAUAUAUAUAUAUAUAUAGAAGGAGAGAACAUGAUAAUGUAAACAUGGUAACCGUACCUCAUGUGAUCGGAUACAAGGCGACGGACGAUCUACGAGCAGUGUGCACCGUCGAGAAAUUAUUCCUGGACCUGGUUCGCCACAUCAACCAUGUUCUUCCAUAGGAUUACCCUCCUGAGAAGAAAAUAUACAGUAUCACACUUACACCACAUCAUUAGUAACAAGACAAUUAUAUUUUUUUAUUUAAAAAAAAAUAUAAUAAAAUAUUUUUCUAUUAAUUAUGAUGGAAUGGAUGAACUCAAGAGAACAAUUCUAUUAAUUACGGACGUUACUAGUAAAUUUUAAACUUUUUUCUCCAUGAGAUUUUAUUCGAUAAAUUUUUUAAAAUUAUUUUUUCAUACGAUUUAUGCCUAUUUUAUAAUUUUUUUGUGUAUUUAGAUGAACAAUGUGGAUUUCAAAAAAUAAUUAAUGCUUUCUCAAUGAUUUUUAUCUAUAUAUUUUUUCUUUUUGCUGCUAGUGAGGGUAAAAGUGGAACUCACGGGUAAAUGAUGAUGGAAAGCAUUGGGGAGCGGUCCAGGGGUGAUGUGGUGGACUCGGUCGAGAGAAGCAUUUAGUCUGUCGGGGGCACCGCGGCUCCACAAACAUGAUAAUGCAGAGAGAUCGCGAUCGGCCGCACGCCCGCGAGAAUCAGACGAGCGACAUCGCCCGCCUAAGGAAAGAAGGAGAAGCGCCACGUCAGCAGCAUGCCCUGCUCCGCAACGCAGAGCACCACAAAAAGCCCCACGAGCCCCCAUUUCACACCCNNNNNNNNNNNNNNNGGGGGGGGGGAGAGAAGUAUAACCUUUUGAUUUGCGUUAGGGUUUUUUUUUCUUUCUUUUUUGGUUACGAAAAUGGAGAGGUGGAAGAAGCCGCCGCCGCCUCGGGCGCGGCGAGGGUAUAGCUGCGACCACCCCUCCUUCUCCUCCACACUCCUCGACGCCAUCUACCGCUCCAUCGACGAGCCCGAGGGCGCCGGCGCGGCGGCGAAGCCCCCGCCGCCGCCCGCCGCCGCGUGGAGGAGCGCCACCGUGCGGGAGCGGGACGCGGCGCCGCGCCGCCCCCAGCAGCAACCGCAGCCGCCGCAGCAGCAGCGCCGCUGCGGCGCGUGGCCGACGUACUCGACCUCGAGCUCGUCCGAGUGCUCCAGCUACGGCGGGUUCUCGUCGUCCGAGGCCGAGUCGUCGGCGCCCGGCUCGGCCCGGCUCAAGCCGAUCCUCCCGGAGAAGAAGAAAUCGAGCUCGAUCCGGAGCCGGAUCCGGGAGUUCCGCAGAUCAUCGAAGGCCCCCGCUUCCCCGGGGGCGCGCCUCGCGAGCUUCCUCAACUCGAUCUUCGCCGCCGCGGCCGGAAACCCUAGGAAGCCCUCCAAGCGCCCCGCCUCCGCCGCCGCCGCGAGCUGCGGCGAAUCGGCCUCGGCGUGCUCCACGGCGUCGUCCUACUCGCGCUCGUGCCUCACCAAGACUCCAUCGACCCGCGGCGGGCUCCCCCCCGCGGCGCCGCCCCCGCCGCCGCCGAAGAGAUCUGUGCGGUUCGGCCCCGUGAGCGUGAUCGUCGACGAGGAGCUCCGCCCCUACGAGAAGAAGCUCCCCUACGACNGAAGCCGCCGCCGCCCCCGCCGCGGCGCCCCCCCUCGGGCGGCGCCCAGCUACCUCAGAACCACUCCGUGCUCGCGCUCAUCCUGCUGCGGCACCUCGUGCGGCUCCGGCUAAGCGGCGUCGAGCGCCGCCGCCGCCUCCGCCCCGCGAACCUCCCGAAGGAUCCCAAAGGCCGGCGCCGCCGCUUCUAGCUCAACUCCUUCGAGCGCUCCGCGCGGGGGCCCCUUCGCCCCCGGAAGCUACUAGACGCCUUGAGGGCCUAGGCCGAGGCCUAGCUCGAGCUAAAGAAGAAGAGGCCCUCCCCAACGCGCUCGGGCCCCCUGACCUGGCGCCCCACCACCACCUGGCCCGGCCCGGCCCUGGGCCAGGCCUAGCCGAACUCGGCCCGGCUCGGCCCGCGGCUGCUGAGCCGGAGCCUGCUGCUCUUGGGCGGCAUCGACCUCGUGAGCCUGCUCGAGCUCCAGCUCAUGCAGCCGGUGCGCGGCGUCGCCGCGACGACGACGCCGCCGACGCCAACGACGACCCCCGCCGCGCCGCGGCGCAGGGCGAGGGCGUGCCACCGCGAGGAGGUGCGCCGCCGCCCGCCGCCGCCCCCGAAGCGGCGGCGCGGCCGCGGGAGCCCGAGCAGCUACCUCGCCAUCUACCGCAGCUCCUCACACCUCCUCUUCCUCCCCACCAGCGUCGAUAUGGGAGCGGCGCGGGCUCCGCCGCCGCCGAAGAAGGUGGCGAAGAAGGUGGAGAGGUAAAAGCAUUGGUUUUUUCUUUCUUUUUUUUUUGGAUUGCGUUUAGUUUUCCAAUAUGAAGAGAGAGGGGGGGGGGGGAGAGAGAGAGAGAGAGAGAGGUGGCUUCAUAUAAAAAGGAAAGAAAAAAAGAGAAAAGGAAAAAGAAAACAUCCUCUCCCUCUACUCUAAGCUUUUACCCUCAUCUCUCUCUCUCUCUCUCUCUCUCUCUCUCUCUCUCUCUCUCUCCUUUCACUCGUUCUUUCCCUAGUCUCUCCCUCCCAAUCCUCACUCGCUUCCCCCAAAGAUCUGUGCGGUUCGGCCCCGUGAGCGUGAUCGUCGACGAGGAGCUCCGCCCCUACGAGAAGAAGCUCCCGUACGACGGCGAUCCUCUACCAAUGGCGAGGAAGAGAGCGGAGGAGAUGGCGCUAGGGUUUCAUAGGGAGGAGGAGGAAGAGGAGGAGGAAGGGGAGAGCGAUUCGAGCUCGGAUCUCUUCGAAUUGGAGAGCUUAACUGUGACGGGUGACGAGCUCCCGGUGUACGAGACCACCAGCUUCCUCACCAAUCGCGCCAUCGCCCAUGGUCUCAUCGUGUAAUUUGAAAACCCAAAAUAAUAAUAAAAAAAACCCCCCCUAAAAAUAGUUAUUAAAAAAAAAAGGGGGGGAUAAAUGAAAAAUAUGGUCGAGGGGAGGGUACGUAGGUAAUUUAGUAAGCGUGUUUCGCGAGUUAACAAGUUUAAUCUGGUGCUUUUAUUAUCAUUAUAUUAUUAUUAUUAUUUUCUUCUUUAUUUUGGUAAUUACUGGACUAAUCUGGUUAUUAAUUAAUUAGCUAAUUAUUCUAUUAGCAUAAUUUUGUUUCUAUAUUAUUACAACUUUUGCAAACAGUAAAACUAGUUAUGCAAAAUAUUAAUUAUUCCGAAACAGAAAAUUGAAUUAAUGGUGUCAUUAAUCUUUUCUAUGGGAUUCCAAUGAUUUCCCGAUUUACUCUUUUGGGACCACCCAGCAAUUUUGCAAGUAUGGUAAUUUUAUUUUUAUUUUCUCAAUUUUUUUCUAAUGGUCAUUCUAAUUUGGUAGACCAUCUCAUUCUGCGGCGGAGGACGAUUUCGUUAAGAAGCGCCUCAACGGGAUCUUAGUGAGACGGUUUGGUGAUUCACUAUUAUGAGUUUGAAUUUUAUAGUUUUUAUUGCUACAUACAAAUUUUUCGUUCAAAUCUCAAUACUAUAUAUAAAUAAGAAUGAGGUGUUUUAUUGAGGUAAUUUAUUUAGUUAGUUCGUAAGAUAAGUAAUAAUAAUCUUAAUUAAGUUGCAGAGGAUGUGCUCAUGUGAAAUUGAGAGGGUGACAAAUAGGAAUUUAUUUAUUAUAAAUAACUAUUUGUCACCAAUGAUGCAGCAUAGAAAAAGUAAAACAGAGGAAAAGGAGAAAAGGGUGCACACGCUUUGUCUCCUAUAGGAUGAAAGGAAUGAUGGGGAGAAUCAAUAAGAAAACAUUUUUGGAAGCAAGGAAUUUUUCUUGAAUAUAAUUAAUGUCCUAUAUAUCUCUAUAUAAAUAACUAAUACUUUGUUUACAAAAAAAAAAAAAUUACAAUAAUUUACUACAAAUUAAGUAAUGAAAUGCUACAAUUUCUACUUCUUUAAUCUUACGGUUUUGUUAUAUAUCCAAUUAGAUAUGAUUACAUAUGCCAGUUUGUAAAAUGAUGUAGAAUUAGCCAGCAAGCGUAGCAUUACUUGUAAGUAACUACACAUUGAGCUUUAAUUUAGGCUUGAACUUAUUUUUGAGAGAUAGGUAGCACGUUACCCGCUUCGUUUAUUUCAUUUAGAAAUAAACUUAGCUGAAAAUGUGAAUCAACUAAAAUUCGAACUUGGGUCUCGGGUACCAACCACCAAGAAUUCGAACUUGGGUAUCGGGUACCAACCAUCAAGCCCUUUGCCACUUGCUCUAGGGACGGUCGGUCUUUAGGCUUAAACUUAUUUUCAAAUUUUGCUUGAACACUCGCCAAAUGUAUAACGGAGAUUUUGUAGCAAUAUUAGGACGAAACUAAUUCGAAACUAUAACAUCGAUCGGUACAGCAGCAGCGAUACAUAGCAUGGUUUAGCAGGAUUCCUGAACACGAGCCCUAAUUAGGGAAACUCUUUGGUAAAAAUAUAGUGAGCGAAGCUCGCGAGUCUAAAAAAAGUAAAAAAUUUAAAAUUUAAAGUUUAAAAUUUGCAAGACAUGUUCCAUAUGGGCAGUUCUUAAUUUGGCUAACAAAAGAUCAUAUAGAUAUAUUAUAUAGAUAUGUCAAUGCCUAUGACAAAGUUCCUAUCAAGGAUAAAGUUGAUGUGAAUGAGAGAAGAGGAAAAAGAAAGAUUGAGUUGGAUUGUGCAUCUCUUAUAGUGAGUGAUCCCUCUCCUUUCACUGCUUCAUCUCUCAGUGGGAUGGACCCUCACUAAAGAAACAUGGUAUCACACUCAUCACCAUCAUAAGAUUAUACACAAAAUCCUAAGUUUAUACUCUUCUUUAAGCUUAUAAGCUCUUUUUUUUUUUUUCUCUGCCCUUUUCAACUUUGGUGACUUAGUCAAAAAGUUAUAAUGAGUGAUUUACUCUCAAAAAUAACACAAAGAAUUAUAUAUAAAUCGAUUCCAAUGCUUUUGGAUGGUUACAUUAAACAUAUAUACAUAGAUGGGUUUAACACUUCCUAACAAGAAAUUAUCACUUUAUGAUUGACCUGGAGAAAAUAAUUUGUGUAAGAUUUUCUUUUCUUUUCUUUUCUUUUUUUUUUUUUAAGUUGGUUUUCUCUCAUGUUGUCGCCUUGUUUUAGCUCAUGGUUACGAUUGGCUGAUAUAUUAGUACCUAAUUCUAGAACCAAGUUCAAAAAAUUAUUAUAUAGUCUUGAGUAAUUAGAUAUUAACAUUUCAUUAAUACUAAUUAAAGAGUUUAAGCACGUGUUGGGGAACAAAGAAUGGGACAAAGUCCUAAGAACAUGCUUCUUAAACUCAGAAACAUAUGCUAAUGAGUGAUUAAUGAGAUUACUCUAAGUUAUUCUUAUAUAUAAAUUAAUUAUAGGACUUUUGACUCAUUUACUAGGCUAGGUUAUUGCUAUAGCAAUGCGACAUGUAUAAUUUCUUAAAAGUCCUAGUGUUGUAAACCUACCAUUUAUCAAAUGAUUAAUGAGUAAUUGGACUCUUUUAUUACCUAAAAUGGUGAAUCAUUCAUGAUUAUAUGUAAUUAAACAAAGAACUAAGAACUUCAAUGAAUGAGUGAUAGAUAGGAUCAAUAAGAUUGAGAGCCCAAAACACACACAUACACAUACACACCCCUAUUUAAUUCUCCCUAGCAUCAUCAAUUGAAGUGCAAAGGGUCCCAACACUGAAAUUAACCCUAGAAACUUAUAGCUUUAUUUAUUUAUUAUUAUUUUAUUAUUUUGGAAAAGGAAUUUGCAGUUGGGUUAGGACAGGGAUAUAUAGCUAGUACAACUUGUUAGGGUUAGCUAACCCCGUUGUUAGGUUAUGCAUAUAUGUAUGGGUUGGACCACUCUUCCACCACAGGGAUAUGUACUCCAUGCAUUAAUAUAAUUUUUAAUGUAAUGUCCUAUUUAUUUAUUGUUACACCUCUCAAUUAAAUGGCUAUGUAUCCUAUAUAUGUCUCCCUAUCCAUAAAUAUACCAUUCAGGGGAUUCUUUAAAAGCUUCUUAAAAGAGAGGCUUCUUAAAAGAGAGGAAAGGGAAAUAAUUAAGGUCCCCUCACAUGAAAAGGUUCCUCCAUGGGAGUAUUAUAUUUGUAUAUAUAUAUAUAUAUAUAUAUAUAUAUAUAUAUAUUACUUAAUUAAUAUGUUAUAAUACUCUCUAUCAUCUCUUUGUACUAGCUGGUGAUUAAAGAAGUGGGUGUGAGCAAUCAAUUAGGGGUUGUUUGGCUAAUUCCUCAAAAAAAUUAUAGAACAAAAUUUAUUUUAUAAUUCUUUUUGAAUAAAAAGUUUAAAAGAUAAAAAAAAAUUAUAAAAUCUGAAAAAAAAAUUAAAAAAUUAUAUUUUUUAAAUUUAACAAACGAAAAACAUUUUUCAAACGAAAACAUAUUUUUAAGUUUUUUUUUUUUUGGAAAACCAAACUCACUCUUAAUUAAUGAUCAUGGAUUUCGGUACUUGGUGGGAACAAAAAUAUUAAAUUUUUUUAAAAAAACUAAAAUAUAAUUGCAUUGAAUUAAGAUUAUUUUACCAACCCACUUAGGAGUUGACUCCAUCUUUUUCAUCUAAUCAUAAAUGAUUAUGCCUAUCAUAACCUAGCUAGAUAUAUGUCGAGCUAUAAAAUAUAUAUAUUUUUUCUUAUUAAAAUGAUUAUUUUUAGCUUUUUGUGUGUUAUGAAAAAGAGUGUGAGAAUUAUUAGGUGGUAUCUUAGGGAGAAUAAGCGACGCAUGCGUCAAAAUGCAUGCUAUAUAUCGAGCCAUGAGCUAAAUUAUUCUCACUAGUUAUUAUUCGGGUCCAAUAAUAUUAAUUUUCUUUUGAAAUUCCGCAUGCGUACUCUAAUAAUGCAUUGUUUAUUUUUUGGUAUAGUUAUUUGAUGUAUAAAAAAUAUAAUUUUUUUAGAAUCAUGGAUUUCAAUGUGUGAAGUAUUUAAAUGUUUCGGAUCUAAUCUCACCAUGCAUUUACGUCGAGAGAUCAUUUGUUUGGAUGUAAUUAUAGCGUAGUUAGAGACAUAUAUAUUGGAUGUCACAAAAAGUAUUGCAUGCGCUUAGAAAUGUGGAUAAACCAAUUGCUACAAUCGAAAUAUAGUUGUAAUUUGAGCAGAGUUUCAGUUGCUGUAAUUGAGCUUUUUUGUACAGUCUGUAAAGAUUGAAUUUAAAUAUAUCAAAUCAAACAUUAUUUAUAUUUAGAUAUGCAUAUAAUUAUAACUACAGUGCAGUUAUUGCUAUGAAAAACCAAUUAAAUAGCGCUUAUAAAUUUCUGUGGUUUUGAUCCAAAUCCGACCCGAUAAGGCGCGUUUCUACUCUCUAUAUGAUUUCUCUCUCUCUCUAAUGAUAGUGAGAAAUCAUGCAAGAGAACUUUGGAGGCAAAAGUCAAAUGUUCUCGAGUAAUUUAUUGUUACAUGCAGUGAUUGUUCUCAAUUUAUGUACAGCUUUUUGUUUAAAGUCAAACACCAGUGAUCAGGCACAUGCACUCUUUGACAAUGUUACGCAGUAACACAUGCAUGCUACAUGUUCAUGUAUAUAUAGGAUGAAUAAUUUAUAGUGCGCGAACGUAGCGAUGCGUGUCAAGUGCCGAGAGGUUUCACACAUGCAACUGAGAAGUCAUAUGGGUUCGCCGACACAUUUCAGUAUCGACAAAAAUAUACCUCAUUUAAUUAAUAUGUACCUAUGAAUGAAACAAAUAGGAUAAGAAAAAUAACGCAACUUCAACAUAUCAAGAUAUUACUGUAAUAAAUUUAAUUUUAAAUACAAAAUAUGAUCAGAUGCAUUAUAUCUGCCAUCGGAGGAGUUACUUGGAUCAUACGGAGUAGCAGGAACAGACACUGAAUCAGCGAUCCCGAGGAGGAAAAAAGAAAAAGAAAAAAAAGAACAGAAAAGAAAAGGAGGCAUGUAUGAUGGAGCAACUGGACUAGUAGUUUUCUAACUUUUGCUUUAAAUUUUCAUGUGUUUCCUUUUUUCUUUUCGUUCACACCAAUCACAACCCAAACAAUUUGGUGUGGAAGAGAUGAUCGGGAAGAGAGAGAAAAAAAAAAAAAGAAAGGAAAAAAAAGAGACGAGGGAUUAAAAUUGUUCGGGCCUGAUCGCCCAAAUCGGAUCUGCUGCUCCAGAUGUCGCUCUCACCUUUCUUCAUUUAAAUAAAAAGAAAAUUCAGUAAUGGAGCAUUCAUUCAUUUUUAUUUAUACAUUAGUUACGAACUUUACUACUUUGUAGUAAUGCACUUAUUAAAUCUUUAGGUAGCCUUUGGUUCGGAAAUAAGGGGGGAAUAACCCCUUGUUCCUCCUUUCGUUUCCAAACACAGCGUUUGGUACCCGAGAACAGUAAUUUUUAGAUUUCUGAAACUAACUGGUAUAAGGUUGUUGUUCCAUCUUUUUUCUGGAAUAAACUUGUUUCCGGAUAAGAACGAGGUUAAUUAAAGUCUAAAUUUAAUUUUAAUAGCUGUAAAUUAUUAAUUAAUUUAAUUAAUAUAUUUAAAUCAUUAUCUAUUGCUUAAAUAAUUAAUUAAUUAAUUAAUUAAAAUUAAUUAGUUAUAAUUAGAUAAUAAUUAUCAUUAAUUUAUUAUUUAUUAUUAAUAAAUAUUAAAUAUUAUUAUUAUUUAUUAAUAAUUAUUAAUAAUAAUUAUUCUUAAUAAAUAGAUAAUCUAUAUUAUUAUUAAUUUAUUAUUUAUAAUUAAUUAUUAAUAAUUAGAUAAUUAUUAUUAUUAAUUUAUUACUUAUAAUUAACUAUUAGUAUUUAUUAAUAAUUAUUAUAGUUAUAAUUAAUUAUUAAUAAUAAUUAUUAUUUAUAAUUAAUUAUUAAUAAUUUAUUUAUUAUUUAUUUUUAAGUAAUAUUUUGAUGUUAAUUAAUUAGAUAAUAUAAUUUUAAUUUCAAAUUAUAACUCUUAUUCUUCUUGUUUCAAUUUAACCAUCCAACCGCUAUUUACCUUAUUUCUAGGAACAACCUAAUUUUCAUCCAAACGCAAAAUUGGUCUAGUUCCUGCUUAUAUCUGAACUUGUAUCUAUUCCUGAAGUAAGCAAUUCUUAUUUAUACCUGAACCAAAAGCAGCCUUAGUUAACAGUACCACUAUAGAUACCCCUUAAUAUAUAGGGAAAACUUUAAAUACCAUCUGUGGUUUUAUUCUUUCUUGCUUUAGUACCCUAUGGUUUAAAAUGUAUCAAGUUAGUAUUCAGUGGUUUCGCACUUUUUCAUUUUAAUAUUUUGUAAUUUAAAGUGUAUCAAGUUAGUACCCCGUGCGCGCACGGACAAAGCAAUUUGUGAUGAGGGAGCUCCCAAAUGGGAAGCAAACAUGACGUAUCCCCAAUCUCAUUAAAUUAUGAAGGAUCCUGACACGACCUGCUCACGCGUGAUCUCAUCCAUCGAUCCCACGUGCAUUCCUGAAUCCUCUUUCUCUCCCCCUUUUUUUUUUUUUUUUUUUUUCUCUCUCUCUCUCUCUCUCUAAAUUCACGGGAGUAAAGAAGAGUAUGGGCAUCCCGUGAAUUACUACUACGCCCACUACUGCUACUACAACCCAUAAUUAAUAUGAACAUAUAUCACUGUUCCCAACAUAUAUCAUUAACUCCUCCCAUGCCAAUAAUAAUGUUAAUGAUAGUAAUAAUAAAAAAAUUUCAAAUACCACCAUGUGACUUCGCAUUUUCUUACUUCAAUAUCUUAUAGUUUAAGUUGUAUCACUUUCGUACCCUAUGAUUUUAUUUUUCUCUUUUUGUUAUCCCUUCACUAAUAUUUUUCGUUAAAUCGGUGAUAAAGAUAAAACUAAAGGGUACUAAAGUGAAUACCCAAUCAACUAUAGGUUGGGUAUCUGAAGUUUUUCGUAUAUAAUUUAACAAAAAGAGAAAAAUGAAACCACAGAUCAUACCCAUCUAUAAUUUAUUGAAUAUUUAAUUUAAUACCGUGUGGUUCACAGAAUUUUCACUUUAGUAUUCUAUAAUUUUAAAUUUUUCACUAAUUUAAUAAAAAAAAUUAACAGAAGGGAUAACGGAAAGAAAAAAUGAAACCAAAGGAUACGAGAAUAAUACAUUUUAAUUAUCAGGGUACUAAAGUAAGAAAAUAUGAAACCACAUGAGUGGUAUUUGAAGUUUUUUCUAUAAAAUAUGAGACGAUUUGAGUUCAGUGUCUGACUUUUUACGAAGUUAAUUUUACUGGUACAAUUUUUAAAUUUUCUUGAUUUAAGUCAGUUAAUGAUAUUUUAACUUCAAAUUUUAAGUUAUUUUAUAGUUGUGAGAAUUGUGUAAAGUAUAAUAAUAAAAUCUGCAAGAAUAAAUAAUAUAUUCAAAUUUUAAAGUCAAGACGUCGUUGAUUGACUUAAAUCAAACAUAUUGAAAGAUUUGAUAGUAAAAUCAAAAUUAUGAAAGAUUUAAUAGUAAUUUAAAAUGAUUCAUAGCUUAUACAAGUUUUGUACAUUUUUACCUAAUAACAAUAAAAUAUUUAUUUGGAUUUGACUACCUAAUGUUUAAAAAUUUUAUUUUUAUUUUUUGACAUUUUAAUUUAUUUGAUUUGAGCCAAUUAGUAAUUCUUUAACAUUAAAAUUUGAAUGCAUCGUUUAUCUUUAUCGAUUUAUUUAAUAUAUUUUAUAAUAAUUUAUCUAAUUAUUUAUUUAUUAAAAUAAACAUAUUAGCCUAAAUUUUACAUUUGAAAAGCUAUCAAAUUAUUUAAAUCAAAUAAAUUAAAAAAUUGUAUAAUAAAAUAAAAAAUUUAAAAGUUUAGAUAGCGGAAUCAUGGUGUUCUAUAAUUCAGAAAAAUGUAUACAUUUUUACCAACCAAGAAUGAUAACAAUAACAACAAUUAAUUGAGAUAUAUAGCUCGUACCGUACAUAUAAUAUGUUGGAAAAUUUGCUGCAACAUGCAAUAAUAAUAAUAAUAAUAAUAUUAUUAUUAUUAUUAUUAUUAUUAUUAUUAUUAUUAACUGGCUCUUCAACUUCGUACACACAUUUUGAAUAACGAGUUAUAACUCGAAGAACACUUCUUUUAUUGCAAGAUUCUCCGCGUAAUAGCUAUUAAAUGGUUCACGCGUUUGAUUGCUAAAUUCGAUAUAUUAAUAAUUUUUUUUGUUUCGGAAAAAUGUGGAUUCUUUAAUUAUCUGUUACCUUUCAUAUAUCCUGGCAAAGGUUUUAGUUCUAAUAUUCUAUUGAGCAUUUAUGGUUCGAUACUAGUUUCAUUAAAUGCAUGUACAAUUAUAUAAGCCAUUAAAGAAAGAAAAAUAUUAAUAACUGUAUAUUAUAGUACAUUUUGCACAAUUACAUUUAUAUGUGUUGUUUUUUUUUUUUUUUUUUUUUUUCUCGAGAGAGGUAGCACGCUACCUGCUUCGUUUAUUUCAUUUAGAAAUAAACUUAGCUGAAAAUAUGAAUCAAUUAGGAUUCGAACUUGGGUCUCGGGUAGAACCACCAACCCCUUUGUCACUUGCUAUAGGGAUAGUCGGUAUGUGUUUGUUUCUUUUAAAAAACUAAUUUUGCACUAUUAUUACAUUCACAUGUGUUUGUUUCUUUUAAAAACUUGAGAGGGAUACCGACCGUCCCUAGAGCAAGUAGCAAAGGGCUUGGUGGCUGGUACCCGAGACCCAAGUUCGAAUCCUAGUUGAUUCACAUUUCUAGCUAAGUUUAUUUCUAAAUGAAAUAAACGAAGCGGGUAGCGUGUUGCCUAUCUCUCAAAAAAAAAAGAAAAAAAAAAAGAGAGGGAUGGAGUACUUUUAUGUGCUUAUUUUCGUUGUUAAUAUAGCGUAAUUUUACUUUUGGUGAAAACUUAAAUUACAAUCAAAGUCAAUUAUGGAAAAAAGUGAAAAAUAAAUAAUAAAAUGCCAUUCAUUUUCUAUAUUUGCAAAUUAAAAAUUUUAGUUCCACAUAUAUACAAGUAGCUAGUUGAAUGAAUUCAUACACAACAAUAAAAGUUAUUUUUAAUAAAAUAGUGGAAAGGUUUUGAUCUCGAUAUUUCAAAUUGAGUGAGUAUUUGAUCUUUUUCUCUUGAGAAACCAGGGGGGUGCUUGGUUCCUCAUAAAAUACUUCACAAAAUUAUUUUUGGCUGAAAAAAUAUUUUUCGUUAUUUUUUGAAUAUUUUUUUACAGAUUUAUAAAAAAAAACUUUCCUUUUUGCGUUCCAAAUUUUUUAUCCAAAAACCAAAACUAUGAAAAUGUCUUUUUCAUGAAAAUUAUUUUCUAUGAAAAAUAUGUUUUUCCCGGUUGUUUGCGGAACCAAACACCCCUAGAAUGGCAGAAAAAAAUUAGAUCGUAAGUCAAAAAGGAGUUACACAACAACUAAAGUUUCUAACCACAAAAUGUAGUUGGAUCCGACCCAAACUGAAUUUUCAAACAGUUUCACGUGCCUGACCGAGAUCUGAUUUAUAAUGCUAUAUAUAUAUAAAUAUAGAGAGUCCGGCUACUAUACUUUUAUAAAUAUUAGAUUUUUUAUACUUAUAAAUUUUCGGCCAUUAGAUUUAUUCCAUUAAUCAUUUCCACCAAUUAGAUCAUACUAUUCAACCAACUAUCCACUCAACCGUAGGGAACCACUAUCAUUCUAAGUGGAGACCGCCAUCAUCCUAACCAUAUAUCCCAUCAAUUAACGAUUAAAAAUUUAUGAGUAUAAGGGAAUGUAUACUCAUAAGAGUAUAAUAACCCUAGCCUAUAUAUAGAGUCCGGUUACUAUACUUUUAUGAGUAUUGACUUCCUUAUACUUAUAAGUUUUCGGCCAUUAGAUUUAUUCCAUUGAUUAUUUCCACCGGUUAGAUCAUACUAUUCAACCAACUAUCCACUCAACCCUAGGGGACCACUAUCAUUCUAAGCGGCGACUAUCAUCAUCGUAACCGCAUAUCCCAUCAAUCAACAGUUAAAAAUAAAUGUCUACACGUAAAAAUCAAAAUGAUGUAUAAGAUCCGAAAUAUCAAGUUCAUAAAAUUUAACAACAAAAGAAGAAAAAAAAAAUGCAAAUUCCAAUUGCCAUCGUAUACUUCGAGCUGGGAUCUUUUGAAAGAAAAUUAAAAAUAUAUCACCUUAUAUUUUUUUUGUAAAUUUAUCUGUAUUCCUAUCUUCGUUUUACUGAUGUUUUAUUCCCAAUAACAUAAACCGACAUAAACCAACACACAUCAAGAUAACAUCCAACCUAAUCUGAAUCACUCGCAAAGAGAAAAAUAAGAGGACAUCAAUUUUGCUACCUUCUAAUGCAAUAAGUAUUCUUAAAUGCUCGACUGACGAAGUAUAGCAAGUGGCUUUUGUUUAAGCAUUGUCAUAAAUUAUUAAGACACAAUAACAUCUUUAAGUACAUUUCAAGAACCCUCGCCAAGGGAAUGCGAUCUCCGAAUUCGCCGAUCUAAAUAACAAUUCCAUUUGCGAAGGAGCAGGUUUAAAUACUUCUGUCCCUUCUAAAGAAAAAGUAAAUGGACUCCACAUUGUCAAUGCUACAGGAAGUCUACAUGUACAGCUCAUUGCAAGUUCAUUUCCUAAAAGCACCGACAACACCAUGUAGAAUUAUUGCGUAGUUGAGCAGAAAACAGCGGCGCAGAGUCCAUCUUACUGCUGAGAGCUCAAUCUCUGCACAUCUACCAACUGAUACAGAUCGCCUCGUCGUUGCUUCUCCAGGGGAAGGUUGGUCCUGCAGAUGUGUGUAUAUAUAUACAAUAUACGCCAUAACGGAGAAUAAAAGGGUUCCGGAUAUGAAAUAAAUUGCAUUGUUUUAAUCACACAAAGGGUUUGAAAAAGCAAUAACAUUAGUCACUUUAAAUAGCUUCAGUAAAUGUAUGAAUGCAUGAUGUUCCCUUACAGAAGAAACUUCAGAAAUGAGCAGUUGGUUAUUUUGCUACAGAGCAGUCAAAAUCUUCAAUAAAACGCAUCGAAUAAUCCACAUACAUAGAAAGAAUUUUCUACUUGAGAGAUCUACUAAGUAUACAAACCCAUACAAGAUGGGAAAUAAAUUACCUUCUGAGCUCAAGUAGCGAAUAGUCAAUUUCCUCUAUAAGGAUUGCUUCCUCGUGCUCGGUAGUCGCAAUCACCUCUCCAAACUGACAACAAACAGAAAAGGUACACGAAAGAAGAAAAAAACAUUGCAGUGUUAGUGUUUCACUUUGCUGUUUCUAAUUUACAGGAAAAAAUGGGACAUUGAAUAAAAACAUAAUUGACUAAUUUUAUUUUGGAGAACGGAUAAGAUUGUAUUGAUUCUCCAAGUUUACUUACAGGUCCAACAAGGGUGGAAUGGCCCCAAGCAAUGUAACUAGAGCCAGUAUCUCGAGCAGGGGAACAAGUCGCCACAUAUAACUGAAAAUAGAGGAAACAAGCUGUUUGGAGUUUGCAAUUCUACUAGAUGCAAAUGCUGCCAUUUCUUUUGCAUACUCGUGUAUAUUGAGAUUUCAGAAAAGAACAUCAAACAACUGGAGUGGUAUGCAAUUAGGAAACCAAGAUGGAAAUACUCUUCAGAAGGGGAUUAGGUUUUAUAUAGAGCAACGAAAGAACCAAGUGAACCACAAAGCUCUGCCCACAUAUACUGUCGAACCAACAAACCAUCUAUUCAAUAAAAUGAAAACCUAGAUGAUGCUCCGUGUACCUGAUUAUCAGCAGCCCUGGCAUGAAAAGGUAAAAUAAUCAAUAAAAAGAGUACCAAAAUAAAAAAGAAAAAAAUGGUUAGAACACUUAGUAAGCUGCAACUGUUGAGUAAGAAGUCAUGCUUGCAUGCAAACAUCUGACAAAAUUGUCCAAUAGCUCCUUGUUAAAUAAUAUGGGGCAACUUUAAAUCUUAUAUUAUUGUGUUUAAAUAAGAUAUAUUCAGUGUCCAUUACAUUACUCUCAUAGAAAGUUUAUAUUCGAAGCUAUAUAUCGAAGAGAUCCAAGAAUCAGGGAUUCAAGAUAGUGUAGAUGAUGCCAUCCGCCAUAAACAGGUGAGUAGAAUAAGUAGCGAUGCAUAAAAAUAUAUGUGCUGGUGUAGAAAGAAAUUCAUUAGUACACAUUACUCUUUUGAUAUAUCUAUAAUUUCCACAACAGUAUAGUUAGUAGAAGCUCAUUAAAUUUUCUAAAAUGUAAAAUUUUAGCUUCGGAGAGAGGGAGAAUGACUAUGACCUAUAGCAAACCAAGCUCUUAAGACAUUUCAUUUAUGUAAACACUAUACAUAGACUUUGAAUUCUUUGCAAAUACAACAGUACCUUGCCCUCUGCAACAACUCCCAAUGCAGAGGACCAGUAGUCAUGUUGAAUGCCCCAGGAUAGCAUAGCAAAUGAGCACCUGCAAUCAACAUGUUUCUUCCAGCGAUGAGUGAAUGGUUGCUGUCGUAUGCAACUAAUUCAGAUGUUAGGUCGGGAAAAAACAAAAAAAAGAUAAUGCAAUAUAAUAAAUUAAACAUCCACAAGCACCAGAACUACAACAUGAGAAUACUGAAAAUUUUAAAGCAACAAAGUAUAACAACUAAUAGCUUUCUAAGAAAAGAAAAAUGAUGCACAACAGCUAAAAUGGAGCACAUAAAAAAUAUCUGAUAAUAGCUUAAACAUCAUAUGCAAGAAAUAAAAAAUAAGAAGAAAGAGGGAUCAGGAUGCGAGGUAAUCACAUCUUGACAACACAUCAAAUAGGAACAGACAAAAAAAAAAAUCAAUAAGAAAGCAGGUUCCAAUACAAGUAUUGUCGCUUCAACUUGGAAAUGACUUUAAUCAGGAACUGAAAGAAAGAUACCUCUUGCUGCAUACAACAUUGCCAACUCCUGGAAACGGAUGUCAUAGCAGAUACCUAUACCAAUGCGGCCUACAUCUGCAAUCGGAAUUGUACGGUCAAUCCAAAGCAUAGCAAAAGUUCAAAAGCGUAAAAUAAACUGCUAAAGACAGCAUCUUUUAACCUUAAAAAGAAGAAGAAGAGAGAAGUGAGAAAGAAGGGGAUCGAAUUGUAACUACAGGAGAUAAGUUACAAGAUACAAAGAUAAUAAGUGUGAAGAAACUAAGUGGCUACUCCAGAAGACAAUAACCUUCCUAAAAGAUCAAAGCAAAACUGACUUGUAGAAAACCGACAGAUCGAACAUGUAAUAUCAAAUUGAUCUACUAGCUCAAAAAAUAAGACCCUAACUAAACUAUCAUCAGAGUUCAUCUAACAUUACUCGUCAAUUUUCAAAGAUUAAUAUUGUAAAGACACGGAUGUGGGAUAAGUUAAAGUUCGUAGCUCAAAUGAGACAGCAGCAAUCAUAUAGCUAGUUUUGGGCGUAAUCUAUUCUUAAUGCAAGCAUGACUCUUAGAAAAAGUCGGCAUACGCAUUCAAAUAUUUCCUAUUCUUUGGUUGCAUGUGUCAUGCAACGAAUUUCCGUUAUGUGAUGCUCACAUGAUACGUAAAUACACACUAAGAUUUGUGAGACCUGUGUCUACGAUUGUAGGAUGCUGUCCAGCUGUAAGAGUCUUUGAUUCCUUGAAUGUAAUCUUCCCCGGAAUAUCAAUGUCAAAAAGAUGUAUCUGCAUACCAUGACAUGUUUCAUAUGAGAUAAUUCAUUAAACCGGCACAUCACAAAGUUAAAAUAUAAUGAAUAAAAUAAAUUGUAAAGGAACUGCCAAAAUUAGUUCCAUAAAUAUGAGUGUGCAAAACAGUGCGGAAGUUGAAAACCAAAUGAGUCUCCACACUUUACAGUUAUGCGCAAGGUGUGGAAUUGUUGAAGUCCUUCAGUUUUAUACCUUUCUGUGUUUUCCCUUGAGCUUGCCAUCUGUGCCAAAGACACAGCAUGUAUUGUAUAGACGAUCACCAGAGCGUUCGGGUAUUGAUCCACCGACAAUAGUAAUACCCAGACUGCAAGCAGCUUCAGAGAGCAUGGAGAAUGACGGAGCUGCAUCACCACCAGCUUCAAUAUCCUCGGCAUACACUGGAAAGCUAUCAUUCGAAUAUGGACUAUUCCAUAUUUCCUAAAAAGAAUGAUAUAGACUAGCUUAUGAUCACAAGCAAGUAAAUCAGCAAUAUCCAGGGAACAUAUAAUGAAUCCAAAAAUGCUAAACCAAGAUGAAAUGGAUCGGAGCAUUAUUUAGAAGAUAUCAGAGUUUGGACCAUAAAUAACUCUAUUUUAUUGAGUAUUCUACAUUCUUUUGCCGUUGACAUCUUCAGAUUAUAUGCAACUCCACUUUCCUCAGCUAUAGAUUAAUAGUGAGCUUCAUGAGCAUAUUAAGUAUGGAAAGCAAAGUCAAAUCACGAUCCAGCGAAAACCUAAAAAAUGAUUCCACACGCAUGUACCCAGGCUACUUUGUUGGGAUAAUACCAAAAAAAUUCAAUGUGCGUGUUAUCUCAUCUAAUUCCUCUCAUACAUCAUACAUCUUCCGCUCUACAUUCCAGUGUGACAUAGUGCACACUACCACCAAUAUCAUUCCUGGCAAUAGAUUCUAUAUUUCAUUUUACCUCGCCUUCAUCAAUUGACACUAUGCUCAUAAGUUGGAACCAACCGAUCUUUGUCAUUUCGGGGUAAAAGGCAUUAUUAGAAGUUAGAACCAACCUGAAUCCCUCGUAAGCAGAAACUAGAAAGCACAGUAGCACAAAUGCAAAAUUGGUAGAUUUUCAACAGCGUGUAUGUAAAAGAUUACAACAUACAGUUAAAGGAUAACUUCAGGCUAGUUUGCCCUGCCCUAGGGUGUUAGUGUUGUUCAAUGAAGCACAUUAGUAGAAUUACUAUGCUAAAAUCCCUUCAACAGUAUAAUUAGAAGCUACAAACGGACCUCAAAAUCUCUUCUUUUUUUUUUUUUUUUGCUUCCCGCUGCAGCAGAAGCUCAAGAGCUUUUUACUUUUCAGAUGCUCAAUUCAAGUAGAGGUAACUGUAGCUGGAAGGAGAAGCAGCGUCGACAAGUCACUUACCGGCAAGAGAACAAGCUUUGCGCCCUUCCCAGCGGCCUCCUCGAUCGCACGCCGAGCAUGCGCGAUGUUCCUCUCCUUAUCCGCCGUCACCGACAAUUGGCAAAGCGCGAUCUUGAACUGAAAACACGCACGCACAAAAAGCGGCUUGAUCAAAAGAACGCCACACAAGAAAUUCACAAACCACGGGGGUUAGAGCGCAAACAAGCAAGUAUGAACCACACCUUCGACACAGGGGGAGUGGGGAGCUGAAUCGCGGGGGGAACCCUAGCCUCCUCCGGCUUGUAAGCGGAGGCCAUGGCGGAGGCGAAGCGGCGGCGCUGCGUCGGAAGCGGCGGGGAUCGGAUCGAGAUGAGAUUAGGGCUCGGUGUCCACCUCUCAUCAUCGUCCCUUCGGGUGAAGGCGACGUCGCGUGUGGUCGAUCACCGCAGGUGCGCUUUACAUUUUGGUUUUGGGCCCCGUUAACCGGUUGAACCGGAAUUAUCGGACCGGACCGGGUUUCCAAUAACGGGUCUAUCGGGUAGAGAGAUGGAGAACGGAUCGGAUGAGGAUUUGACAGUGGCCUAAGCCACACUAUUUUAGAUACCAAGAUAUUUCAGUAAAUUUUUUUUAAAAAAAAAAUAUGGCAAGCAUGUCCUUUCAUUUACUAUUAUUAUUCUUAAUAUUUUUAUAAACUAAGCUAAUAUACCAUUAAUAGUAUUAAGUUCUUAAAUUAAUAGAUGUGCGAUUAGGAUGAUCUAACAUAUGAAAAUAGUCAAAAAAAUAGAUCGGUGAAAAAUUUGAUAGUAUCUGAUGCUUGAUACUAUUGAUAGUAUAAUAGUCUAACUCUAUUAUUAUUAUUGUUAUUAUUAUUAUUAUUAUUAUUAUUUGAAGGAAAAACUUCAUAAAUCACUCAUGUGGUUUUGCACUUUUUUUUUUAGUACCAUAUAGUUUAAAGUGUAUCAAUUUCGUAUACUAUUGUUUUAUUUUUCUCUUUUUAUUAUCCCCUAUUAAUUUUUUUCGUUAAACCAGUGACAAUGUUAAAACUAAAAAAUACUAAAGUGAAUAUUUGAUAAAUCUAGGUGAAGUAUUUGAAGUUUUUUGUACAUAAUUUAAGAAAAUAUUAGUGGAAGAACUGACAAAAAGAGAAAAAUAAAACCACAAAGUACAAAAUUGAUAUACUUUAAACACAGAAUACUAAAGUAAAAAGUGUAAAAUCACAUAGGGGGUAUUUAAAGUGUACUCUUAUUUGAAAUGUAAUGUCCAUUUGUUAUUAUCAUUGCUAUUGGCGAAGAUGUAUGGAAAUCACCUCAACUAUAAAUGCAAUUUGAAAUGUUACCCUCAAAUUUUUUGUUUUUCUAUUGCCAUAACUUUUAAAUUUUCAACUAAAUAUUUUUAUCCAUUUAACGAAGUAGUAUAUUAAAUUUAUUACUAAUUUUAUUAAAUUAACAAUUAGCUUAUCGAAUCAUUAUUCAUUAGGCACAACAAAUUUCCAAGCUUAGUAACUACCACAUAAAAAAAAUAAAAGAAAUUGCAAGAUCAAAAGUUGAUGGGCCGAUUUCAAAAUAGGCUAUAGUUGAGAGGGUCUGUUUACAUUUUUACCUUAUUAGCGGAGUCAAAGACCCGGCCCACGGCCCAUGGACUUUUAUUGAUCGGGUUUUAAACCACAGAAUAAAAACGAUCCCAAAACCCUCGCUUUCUCCGAACCUUCCCUUCGCCGUCUCCAAACUCCCUCUCUCCUUCGCCUCUCCUCCUCCCAUUCCCCUCUAUCCACGGAGACCUAGCUAGGGUUUACGCCGCGGCGGAGCACCAUACCCCGCGCGCCCAUACCCUCUCGCUCGAUCCCCCCGAAGCCAUGGUCUUGGACUCGUCGAUGGAUUGCGGCGCCCAACCGAUCUCCUCCCCCGUGCGAAGCGCCAUCCGAUCCAUCAAAGAGGUCGUAGGGGACCGCUCCGACGCCGACAUCGUCGCCGUGCUCGCGGAGACCCACAUGGACCCCAACGAAACCGCCCAGAGAUUGCUCGCCCAAGGUGCUCACGAUCCACUUCGAUUAGGGUUUGCUUUGUUAUGGAGUUGCUUGGGUUUGACUUAAGUAGGCUUUAAUCUCGCUAGGUGUAGAUUCAGUGAUGCUGUUAAACCGUAUGAUUGCUUAGCUUCAAAUUUGUUUGCGUGUAGUGUACGGGUCGCAUCAAAGUGUAGUAUCAUGAUAACUGAUUUAGUUGCUUCUUAGGUUUUUGCAUUAAAAUGUAAUUUUUUCUCUCAUCAAUAGUUGCUAACACUGUUGAGCUUCCUAAGGCCAGUAUUUUAGGAUCAGGGAACUUUACCUGGUUAUGUAAUACCAGUUAACUUCAAGCAUAUUCAUGUGCUGAUUAUAUAUAUAUAUAUAUAUAUAUAUAUAUAUAUAUAUAUAUAUAUAUAUUCUCAAAAUUGAAAUUUUUUUGCAUUCGGUAACUUGUUUGGCAUCACUUGUGUUUGUUCUAGGGUUCAGGUUUUGUUGUAACAGUAAGAUUGCGUUUAUGUGAUAUGUUUGUCAUGUGUUUGAAUUGGGGAAACAGCCUCUUUGAAUGCAAGGCUGUGUGCUACUGACACAACACUUUUGGGCUUGUCGGUCAAAUAAACAGUCUUGUCCAUGUAAUUGUUUCAAGAAACAAUAGACAAUAAAAAAGUUGUAAGUUUUUAAGUGAAUAUUGAGAUCCAAGAUUGAAAAAGAAGAUAAAUAGUAGACAAGGCGAAGCAUGAUCUUAUCUUUUCCAAUUAUUUUUUAUCUUCUAUUGACAACCACUUUGAUGAGUUUUUAGAAUAUAGAUCGUUACUGAUUCAAUCAUCAUCCAUAAAUGGCAUGUGAUGGGAACAAUCAAAACCCUUGUUUAUGCUUAUGCGUCUGACACAAUACCCUUGGAUCAGUAAAUAUUUUCGUUCUUUAAUGACAUUGACAGUUAGAGUUUUUUUUACAACAACAUUUGUUGUCCAUGCUAUUAGUUUUUGUUAGUUGAUGCCAUUAAGCAUGAUUCUCUUGUAAAAAACUUUUUGGCUUUUGUGUUUCUAUCUUAUGAUGAUGUACUUAUGUUUAGUAAAUUGAUCUAUUGCUUGCAGAUUCAUUUCACGAAGUAAAGAGGAAGAGAGAUAGCAGGAAAGAGGUAUUCCAUUUUAAUUGCUUUGUUAAUUAUUUUAUCAAACGUCUUUUGAUCAGAUAUGUAUAGUUCAGAUUAAAUCUUCUGGAUACUCAGAUACUACUUUAGUCAUGUUGUAGAAUUAGUUUUGACUAUUGUCUUCUAUAUUUUCGUUGAACCAGUACUUGACAUAUUGUUUCUUGUGAUACUAGAAUACAGGUUUUAGGGGUCCUACUGAUGUGAAAACUCAAAAUCAGAGCAGAAUACGGCAGGCAAGACCUCAACGAUCAUGGGAUCAAAAUGCUGGAAGAAGAGGUUAUCCUCAAAAUUCACAACCUGGUAAAGCUCAUGAAUCUUAGGAUUACUUGUUGCUAUAAGAAUUAGCAAUUUCUUUCCAAGAGAAGAAAUCUUUUGAAGCGUUAUACUUGUUGUGAUGUGUUGAACUGGAACAUGUGUAUUUUCUCAACUGUUUGUUGUGUUUUCCUGCCUCUUAACCCCUUCCCUGCUUCUUGCUUCUUUAGUUAGUUUGGUAUUUCUUUUUUGUUGAAUUCAUCCUCUCAAGUACUUCACUGAUUAAGGUCUAGUAUAGACAUGAUGCUUGGUCCUUUUUUAAAUUAUGCAGUUUACUGUGUCUUUGUAGAAUCUGAAAUUAAGUAUUUAAACUUUUUUUUGAUACUAUUCUACAAUUUUGAUGUUUAGAUCCUUUUGACCUGUUGUCACUUUAGGUUCUGGGUAUCUACGUGAUAUUUACUAUGUGACUAGUGCAGGAAUUGUUCAGGUAUUCCGUGUUUUAAAGGAUGAUAGAAAGAGUUCCAAGGCCAAUAAGGAUGAGGAACCACAAUCAUUUGAAAAUCCUGCAUACGUCAACAAGGAAGAUGUUCUUGAUAGUGUGGACAAGAGGUAUGUUGCUUACACCACAUGCUCAUUUUUUCUAUCGUUAAUUUUAUUGAGGAGGAAGAAUCAAGUGCUUCUGUGUUGUUGUGGCUAGGAAUAUAGUUCAACCAAUUCAACUUUUGACUGUGUACUCAGUUAGAUCACUUGGUUCAUCAAGCGACUCUUUCUUUCAUAUUUGUGCUGCAGUUAUGAGUUCAUCACUUUAUAAAUCUCUGAUGGUUGCCUAGAUAUUUUAAAAAUCAGUAGGUUCUUCUAGGAUCCUUCUCAAACUGAAGUUUUGCUUUUGCCAACCUUGUACAAUUGAAGAUUGGCCUUCUCCUAGCGAUCAUGCGAUCUGUAAUCUGGUGCUUUGUUAACUAUCUUGCUUAUUAUGACGUUUUGUUCCCUUCUUUUUCUCAUAGUUUAUUUUUUAAUCUUGUUGCAGUAAUUAUAUCUUUAGAACAUCUUGUCGAGGGAAGAGUCAUUCUUCUUUCUUGCACAAGUAGCUUGUUAGGGUGCCAUAGUUAUAUACCUUUUUAUCCUUGAUUUGGAGUAUAUUUUAAAAAGUUGAUAUGAUCACGUGAGUUGUUGCAUGUUUCUUUCUGUUAGCUGCCGCUGCUCGGAUGGUAUAGUUUCCACAUAUUGUAUGCAGGCCAGUAAAUCAUUUUAAUCAUUAUUAUAUAUUCAUGUCUGAUACCCUUUCUGUGUAGCUUCAGUCGAAACGCAAGUGAUCAAAAGCAGAUAGCAGCCAGAAAUUGUGAAGGACAAGUUGUAACUCGAAGCCUGAAUCGCCAGUUUUAUUCUGGUCCAAGUCAUGCCAAAGGACUCAAGACAUACGGUGAUCAUAGGCCUAGAGCUUCGAAAGAGACUGCCACAACCAACUCAGAUCCUGCGAAAGUGGCACAAAAUGGUGUUCAACGUAACUCACAAGUGCUUUCUGCAACAAGCGUCUCAACUCAUGAUAUUGUUUCUCUAUGCUCUUCGCCCUCGGACCCAAUUCAUGUUCCAUCUCCUGAUAGAUCAGCUGGGAAUCUUGGAGCUAUACGGCGUGAAGUUGGAGUAGUUGGUGUAAGGAAACAUUCUUCUGAUCGUGCAGCGACUUCUUCAAAUGGUUUGCACUCAAUUUCAUCAAUGGCGAAAGAUAAUAUUUCCCAAGCCGAGAAGUCAGGGCAAUCUGGGAACUUGUCAAAGAGCAAUUGCUUUAGUCGGCCCACUUCGUCAGAUAGCAGGUUUUUUUCAUCUAGUCAUCAUAAUGGCAAAAUACAGCAGCAGCAAUCUGUGGGUCAUCAGAGAGGUAAUUUUCAUUUGUCAUUGCUUAUUGCCUGUAGAUAUUCUUGGCAAUGAAAUUGGUCUAUUUUGUCUGAUCUUCUUUCAUGCUUAUACAGAUUGAAUGAUUAAUUGAUUGAUGGAUUGAUAUAUUUUCUUACUGCUGAAACUAUCUUAUAAUCACAUCUGUUUCUUUGUGAAGCUUUUCUUAUUGAUGCUUAAGAUUUUCCAACAUUCUUGAGUUCAUACCAGAUUUCUAACACAAUUUUGUAAAUUUUGUUAGUCUCUGAGUGGUACCUAAUUCCUGCUAGUUUUGAUAGAUCUUAUGGAAACAGUAUGAAUAGAACUUCAAAACUUGAACCAUUUCUAUUCCAUUUACAGUUAUGAAAGUGUAUUAAUAGGUGGCAGUUGCUACUCGUACUGGCACAACUACGGAGUACUUUAACUAAAAUGUCAUUACAGGUCUAAGCAUAUCUUAGUCACUCUUACUAUGGUAAUGUUAAAAGAAAAUCCUACAUGACAUUGUUGGUUUAUAUUAAUGAAGUUGAACAUCUUUCCCAAAUGCAGCUGCACAGACCUUGAAGGAGUGGAAGCCAAAAUCAAACCAGAAACUCCACACUGCCAAUGGUAAUGUCACCAUGACAGCUUCUUCUACCCCUCCAGCUUGUGCUGAUAUUUCUACUAGCUUAAAUCAGGUGGAAGUAGCUGCCUUGUCUGAGAAGAUUGCACAAGCUAAAUUUUUGCAGGAUGAGCAUGUCAUUAUACCUAAGCAUCUUCAAGUGCCAGAGUCCGAGAGGAGUCAUCUAAUCUUUGGUAGUUUUGAAGCUGGGUUUGAUUCUAUUAUGGCCCAUGCAUCUGAUAUUUCAGAAGUCAGGGUUCCAGAAAAGUUGACUGAUCAAUCUUUUGUGAGGUAGUUGUCUGCUGCUUAUGUAUUUGUUUUUCUACUUUACUUUUAAAAGUGCAACAUUAUAUAAGUCAUAUUUAAUAUGACUUAUAACUGAUGUUUUAUAUUUUAUUACCCUCCUAUUUAAAGAAAGAUAACAUGAUUGAAUAUGCUAGAGCUAUUGAUAGGCAAUCAGAUGCCAGGAAUGCAUUCUGAAGGUCUCAAAAUUAUAGGAGGGAUUCUUUUAUUUUGAUUGUUGAGUGGCAGUCGAGCCUCUCUUUGACUUUGGGGUCUGAUUCAGUCUCACAGUUUACUGUUUGCAGAUCUAGGGUCCUAUUAGGGUUUCCUUUUGCAUUACAAGGGUAAUUUAGGUGUUUAUAGGCUUCAAUGAAACUGAUGGAUUUUUAUGGUUGAUCAAUUUAUUUUAACUUUCUCUUUUUUUAAUCUCUUCUUAUUCCAGCUUUAUCACUGCUAAUCUUCCUCUUCUAAAAUAAAUUCUAUCAAUGAAUUCUUCUUAUGCUUUGAUAGAGCAAAUAAGGAUCGAUCCUAUUACCAUCCAAGAAUCUGCCAAUGGAUCAUAACCGCAGAUGUCUGAACUUAAGCCAAGAGCUUACUAGCAUCCAAUGCUAUUCUUCUCUCUAAUUGCUCAGAAUGUUAAUGCAUCUGAAAAAGCUACUCUUACACUUUUAACUUUUGUUUGGUGAAGUACGUCUGCACCGGUUUCUGAGGGCUCAAGUGAAAAUUUCUAUGCUGCUAGCCAGGCAAAUGACAAUGAGUCUCAAGCAGAAACCCAAACUAAUUCUCCAGCAGUAUAUGUGGACGCUCAGCAGUCAUUAUCAGGAGAUACAGAGAGAUUGCAUCCUCAAAAUAGCAGCAAUUAUUCGCAGAUUGGAAAUAUUUCAAACAAUGUCUCUUCUUACAGCUUGUCUGAACCCCAACCUUUUCAAGAUGAUUCAGCUCUGCAAAACUUCAGGGUAAGUUAAGCCUAUAUGCAUGUUUCAAGCAACCCUUAUGUUUUCUUUGUAAAAAGGGAAAAGGAAAAAUAUUAAAGAAAAUUCUAAUCUGGGCAAAUAUCUUUACUAAUUUAUUAUUUCAGGUACUCCUUCAAUUUACUGUUACUUAGGCGUCUAGCUUCUUUUUUUUCUUUCAAGAUUCUCGGUAUUUUGCAUUAGUCGAGAGAAAAUUGUUUCAGUAAUUUCUCAUCCUAGAAUUUCUUGAGAGCAGGAAUAUGAUCCACAAGCCACAUAUGGUGUGCCAUUUCUCAGCAUGACUGUUGAAGAUAGUGCAACGGACCCGAAUAUAACAUUAGCAACGCAGGUUAGUUGUUUGGCUCCUUAAGUUCAUAUUGUCAUUUUACUAUAGUAUAUUGGACCAGAAUAUAACAUGACUGUUAUUGAUUUGUGCAUCAUAAAGUAUGAGUGUAACCAUCUUGUGGAAUUCCUUGAACAGGUGGGGAGCUCCCAACCGACCAGUAUCAGCCACUUGUCUACUUCUGCAUCUGUGCAGCAGCAGCAGCAAUCUGCAGGACAAAUUUAUCCACAAAUCCACUUCCCAAAUUUCUUGCCAUACCGACACAUCGUCUCUCCUUUAUAUGUUCCUCCCAUUGCAGUACCGAACUAUUCUAGUAAUGCUGCAUACACUCACCUCCCAAACGGAAGCAGCUAUGUGGUGAUGCCUGGUGGGAACUCACACUUAAGUGCCGGUGGAAUGAAGUAUGCGACAUCUCAAUAUAAAACAGUCCAUGCCUCUGGUGGUACCGCCAUAUACAGCAAUUACUCCACUGGCUAUCCCAUUAGUUCAGACACAUUUGGGAGCGCAACUGGCCUCGAAGAUGCGAACAGGAUCAAAUACAAAGACAACGGUCUCUACGUACCGAAUCCAUUGGUAUGAUCUAUAUUUCGUUUUUGAUAGUACUUCCUUCCCUUUUUUCUAAGGCCAUUUAGAAUAAGCUGUGAAUUCCUGCAAAUCCUUCCCUUUUUUAGUUUUUGCAACUUGAGCUAACAUUUCAUGAGCCAAAAUGUUGACGGUGGAAGUAUUUAGUUUGAAGGUCAACAUGUCAGUCGGACAUAUUUCAGUCCAUGAGAAGAGAUUUGACCACAAGUUUCAAAUACAUCAAAAAGGUCGACCAAAAUGUAAAAUCCAAUAAAAAGUGGAUAACUUUUGUGGCCGUAUUGUAGUAGGCUCAGCACACUAUUCAACUCGACACAGAUGAACAAACAAAUGACAGCGGGAUCAACAAAAAUCUUCUCUAAUCAGCUGUCAAUAAUUAUAUUGUGGAAUUGUAAAAUAACAAAUAAACUGUAACGGAAUUAAAAAUUUGCACUUCGUAAGCAAACUGUUUGUACGACCAUUUGGGCAUCGAAGCAUGGUUGACCUUAAGUUCUCUAGCUAUGCAGUUUCCUAACUAACAUUUAUCCCUAACAUAAUUUGUGGAUUCAACAGACAGAGACUACUGAUAUAUGGACUCAAACACCAAGAGAUGUUCCCGGCAUUCAGUCGUCUCCUUUCUAUAACAUGUCAGGACAAGCUGCAACAGCAGCAGCACCCCAUGCAGCUUAUUUACCCAUCCACGCUGCUCACCCCUCGUUUAGUCCGACACCGCAGGUAUCUCAUGUGCAAUACCCUGGCACUUACCCUCCCAUGCAGCCCUCCAUGGCCUCUAUCGCAAGUCCGCACCAUAUGGUCCAUCAGCCAGUCCAACCUGGUCUCAGUGGCAAUGUCGGGGUCGGGGUCGUAACCGCAUCCGCGGCUCAGGUCGGAGCUUUUCAUCAGCAAAACCAACUCAGUCAUCUUGGUUGGAAUGCCAACUAUUGAAGAGGUCUUGAAGCCUAUUGUCUGUGUCUCCCGGUUCCCUGUAAUGUGGGGGUAAGUGGCUUUAUAUAAAAAGAUAUUUUUGGAGCUCUAGCUGUAAUGCAAGAUGAACUCUCUAAUGCAUGGAAAGCUUUUCCUUCACUUCAAAAUAGAAGAAUUGUUAUUGGUUCUUCUCUUUAUCACUUGAAAUCAUAAGAGGUUUCUUGCAUUGAAGUUUUAAGUGUUUAGAUUGGUGGCUUCAAUGAAAUAGUUUUUUUCUGCAUGGGUUUUUCUCAGAAACACUUGUUUACUAUGUUAUAUACUCAAAAAUCUGGUAUGACAGAUUACUUAUUAGCGGACAAUUAGGUUCUAGCAUACUAUCUUUUUCGUGCCCUUUCUCGAGUCCUAGUUUGCAUUACGCAGGCUCGGGAAAUUCGACUCUGCAAAUCCAUUCAUGCAAGAGAACUGUAUUGUUUUGUGUGGUUUUACUCUCGUCUCUUACAAGCUGAUAUAUCAAAGCUGAGGUGACAAAAUUUUACUUAACGUGUAGAAGAACAUCUUAGUUUCAUGUGUUAUUUGAUAACGUAUUUUGUCACAUUUGAUAUGUUUGUUUGGACCGUUCUAUACCCUGUUAUCUAUGAUCGAAUUCAUUUUCCGUUUCUAAUUAGACAAUUUCUUGUGUCUAUUAAAGAAUUUGUUUAUUUCACAUUUGGUCCACUUAUUUCCAUUUAAUUCAGGGUAUAUUUAUGAGAACAAAAAAAAGAUACGGCCCCUUGUAUCGUCGGGAAAAUAAGGUUGGGGGAGAAAUAGAAAGAUUUGAAUCGUUUGAUUCUCUUUUUAAAGAAAAAUAUUUCUAUUUGUCUCCCACUAUGAGAAUAAGCAUCAAGAGAAGUAAUAUAACUUGUCCUUUAUUCGAUCACCUUAGAAUAAUUUAUGAGGAUUCGCAUCCAAAUGUAUGCCGGGAAUAUGUUAUUCUAUCCAAGAUAUCUCCUGAUAAUCGAAUAUUAUCUUGCCUAAUCUAAUCCAUUAACAUCACAUCCAAGUUCUCUUUAUUGCACUUCACACUACACCAGGAUAAGAUAAGUUAUUCAACCUAUCAAAACCUAAAAAUAACCAACUAAUUAAAUUGAUAUAUUAUUAUUAGAUAUAUUUGGUCCCCACCCCAAACAACACCCACAACAAAGCUUAGUUCUUUGGAUUAUUCCAACUAAUUAAUCUCCAAGCUUCUUAUAUUAACUACUAAAAUUGUUGGUUUUGUGUUAUCUUUAUUGAAUAUAUAUAUAGAGUGAGGCUACUAUGCUAUCGGGAGCACGGAGCCUUCCGUGCUUCCAGCUUUAGGCGAAAAUUAAACCCGGGUUAAAAAACCCGAAAAGUUCCGGGUUUCCAGGUUAUGGUAGUGAAACUCGAAAUAGAAUUUUCUCUCUCUCUUUUUUUUUGGAAAAGGUAGGUUUAAAAGCGGGAAUCACAAUAGUUUAAACUACACUUCUAAAAAAAAAAAAUUAUAUGACUUUUUAACUCUUCUUCUUAAUUGAUAACCUGAACGUUUUCUAUUGCCAAUUUAAACUUAAAAGGUGCUUACUUAAAAUAUACUUUAAUUAUUUUGAAGCGUAUGUUGUGAAGACGUCUUUGAUGCAUGUGCUCUCGUAGAACGAAGAAAUUACGGUAAUAACUGUAGAACGGAGAAACUACCCUUAUUUGUAGUACUUAAACCGUGUUUCCCCUGUUUCUACCCGGUGAUUAGUGGGAAUAGAGAAUAAAUUAUUUUGGAACUAGUACUUGUACGUACUAACCCACGUUCGAUAAGUUUAAACUUCAUGGGAGAGAACAGUUACAGUUUGGUAAUCGAUCGGGAGUACUUGGGUUUUCGUUAACGUAAUCCAUAUUUUUUCGUACCGUAACACAGUAAUAGCGCCGUUAUUUAGGCCAUAAACAGUUGUUUUCCCGUUUACUAGGUUGAAUACACGAUGAGAAUUUCGGAAAUAAACCUCUGAAUACUAUCUUUGGGAUUUAUUAAUUCCUGGGUAGAAUACUACUUUUCUUUGAUUGGUAGUUAACCAACUCCACCCCAAACUCUUCCCAAAAAUGGAUUGAGUGACCGUAAUAUCACCGGAUUCGUUAGGAAUAGUACGUACGGAAACAAAUGAAUUAAAAAUCCUUUACUAUUGUACCAAGGAUUUUCUUCCUUCACUUACCCGAACAGUAACUUCAUUUUGGGAAAACCCACCUCCACCCCCUACACGACUCUUUCCAGUUACCUCAAUGGUUUAAUAAUUCGUUUCUAUAUAUCUCACCGUAAUAUAAUACGUUUCCCAAGUACUCUAACCACACUCGAGAUUUCUUUAUUAAUCUUCUCCCUGGGUUUUACCCCUCAAUCCGUUAUUAGGAGAGAGUAAAGAUACUAUUUCUCCACGAUGUUAAUACCUGUAGUGGUGAUAUGAAAAAGACAAAGAAAAAAUUGAAUAUACAACAAAUCCUAAACACCAAAACAACCGAAUUUAUUCAAGUUUAAAGACAAGACCUUAUUAUCCGAAUCUUUUAGUUAUUCAACCCAAUCUAAUUCAAGUUAUUCAACUCACCUUGAUGUCAGGUUUAUUUGGGUUGCUAUUCUCUGGGUUGUUAUCUAGGUUGAAGGUUCAUCCAACUCAGUCCAGCUUCGACACUCGCAAUACCGAUUCGGAAUUCACACUACCUACGCGAGAAGGAUAGUCAUGUAUAAAAACCUUAUUAAUCAAUUGCGAAUACUAGGUGUCGCAAGAAACAUCAUGUUGGUAAUGUUUCUUCUAAUAAUGCAUGUAAUUCAAUGAACCUUUCAUUUUCUGUUUACCAUAUAUCUUGUUUUAGGUCAUUGCUAAUAUUGAUCGGUAACAGUGGAGUUAAACAUCGUGAUCACCAAAAGAUCAGUUAGGUGAGUGUAAUUAAAGUUGUUGGAAAAAGAAAAAUUUGAGUUUAUUAUCUAUUUAUUCCACGUCAUCAUAUAUUCUCUAACAAGAAUAUAACAAGAAUGGUAUUAAGUUUCCUACGUACGUACAUCGUAUAAUUAAUGGUAAUAUGUACGUUGAGUUUUCGAAUACAUACAAACAUAGUUAAAGAGUGGAUAGAUUAAUAAUGCGAUAUGUUUAAUGACUCUGUUAAACCACUCAGCACACUAAGUAGACACACGGGCUUAAAAUUGCUAUAAACAAGGUUAGAUUUUAAGAGAAUGUGUACGUUUACUGCAUUUGAAAUGGAAAAAUCAAUAUAGUAUAAUAGAUUUUCUAGUUAGACUAUGUUCAGAAUAUCGUAUCCCCUACGUUAGAUGUUGUUCUUUGUAUUUCUUUAUGAAACUUUAAUCAAACUCCACAGGUUCUACAACUUACAUCGGGUGCACUAAAAAGUUCCGCUAGAUAUUUCUAUGUCAGCCAGAUAAGUUUAGCUAGAUAUUUCUAUACCAUGUAGAUUGCCAAUCUUACAUAUACUUGUACAGGAACUACCUGUCUGCACUAAAUUAUAAGAAUAUAGUUUAAUACAUAUUUAUAUAUUAUAUGCAAUUAGGGCCAGAUUGGGAUUAGGUUAAAAGACAAUGCUGAGGUAGAGGCCCCUAUUCCCUUAAUCUGAGCUUUGGAGGGCGAGAGAACGUCUAGCGCUUGCUCCUGCUUUGUGCUCAUUUUUAGUGACGGAUGUUUAGCCUAUGUCUUUAGUUUUAGUACCGUCUUCCAUGAUAAAAUCAAAGAAUGUAUCAAAGAUUGGGUUCUUUGGAAGUGAAGUAAGGUUAAAUUUAAGCGUUGUUUCAUAAAAUAAUUUUUUUUUUUUUUUCUUUGAUAAGUGUGAUGGUUCAAAUAGGGGAACUGCGUUAUCUACCGCUUUACGUACGCAUUCGAGGUUGGGGGAUGUAGAUGUUAAGGAAUAUUUUCUGUUUCAAUAAUUAAAAAUUAAAAAAAAUUCUUUUUCUUUUUCCUUUUCCUUUCUUUUUCAGGGAAACGAAACACCAUGUUGUUUCGGGUGUUUUCUUAGUAGGUUGGAUGUGUACUUAAACACCCUCUCUUUCUUUGCGUCCUCUGGAUGUUACUCAUUUUCCGAUGUAUUCACUCUGUAGGUUUCGUGGGGUGAAUAAUUGGGGUGGUACAGGAUUAUUCACAAGGUGUGUGGAGUGAAACCGUAUUUAGGCACUCGCGUGCACGAGAGUUUUCACUAAGACACAGGCUCACGACAAACUCAAUUCGAUAAACUCAAUUAUGUGCUCGUCAAAUUAGGUAUCGCGUGCAUACAUGCAUGUACGAGAGUUUUUAUGAGCAUAUAUAUAUUCACAACAAACUCAUCAAAAAAAGCGAGAAAAGAGUAACUAUAGUGAAAGCCGAUAUCGGUUGAAACAUACAUUGAAGACGAAGAACAUAUCUUUUCGAUUAUUUGUUCGAUAUAUAUGUUCGUACGCAUAUAUAGUUUAUGAGUUCCUUUUUGUUCUAAAUGUGAAAUUAUCGAGUUUCAUUCCUAAGAUUAUGCAUGUAAGCAACAAUAAUGUAUAUAACUUCUUUUUUUCAUGAUCAAAACUGUGUGAAGUAAUUAAACUUCUCACAUUAAUGUAUCGAUUCAUGAUCGAACACCUAACUAAGAUUAACCCGUUCGAAUGAAGUAGCUCUAGUAGAUUACUAUUCUUGUGAAGUAGAUUCGUACUUUCGAGCCAAGGCAGCAGCGGCUUCGGACAACCACCUGGCGUCGAGCUGAGCAUCUGAGCCGUAUGCUGGGUGAAGAACACAAGGAUUACUAGUAUAUCUCACUUGUAUCAAUCUCCCUGAUCAAAUUUUCUUGUACCGCUUUCCUAGCACUAUUACCGAUUAGUGAAGACGUUUCACGAAGAUAUAUAAGCUCCAAGCUCUAUCAAGAUUAUCGAUCUAAAAAGUUAUCGAUCUACAUGCCUAAUCAGAGAAUAACACUAGAUUUUAAUUGAAGCAAACGGCUUACGUACUAAGACUGAAUGCAUUAUGUUUUCGACAACAUCUUCGUUUCAGUUUUGUACACGAUAGUACACUGAUCGUUAUUUAUAAUAAUAUUGUGAAUGACUAGAAACCACCGAAGAGAAGAAUUCUCUUCCGGAUAAUCUCGAACUCGAUCAUGGUGAACACGGAGGUGGUAGAUGAUUUACUAUAAGUACGUACUGGGUUAACCAAAACUAAGGAACACCUCGAAGGGGGUGUAUCUUAUACUCCCAGAAGAAGUUGGGUUGUAGAAAUGGUGGUGAGUGAUAGCCGAGCAGCCGCAGCUCUCCCGAGGUUAUAGGUGAACCCCUCCGAGGUGAAACCAGGGAACACGCUAACUUCUUCAUGGUAUCUAACGGACGAACUUCUCGAAAUGGAAGCUUUAUGUGUACCAACAACGCAUCUACGUUGUAAUCUAACACCUAGUUUUCGUGCAUUUCUCUCUUAUUUGCAUAUAGCUAGCGUAGACAAUUAUUGUUAAAGACGUUAUAAUAUUUCAUGUAGAGACGAUCUGCACUUGGAUCAGUUAAUAUGCUAUUUCAACUGGUCAAAAUUACGUAGAAUAGACAGUUAUUGUUUAAGACGAUAUGAAAAGUUACAACCUUCCUUUGAUUCUUGCUUGGUAGCUCUAGGGUUCCCAGCAUCGCUACCUCUACUAGCUGCUGCCCCUACUACAGCCCGACCGUUCCCUCCUCGCGCUGGAACGCCGCCUCCUUCACCUGCUGCUCGAGGAGCAGCCUCCCCUUCUUCACCUUCGGUCCUCCUUCGAACCACCAAGGAAGAGGGUACCUCUAUAUGUCUUCUCUUCACGUGAGUGUUUCUUCUCUCUUUAUAUCUCUAGUAUGUAUAUUUAAUUCCACAUACAAACCACAACAACUUACCAUGAAUAUCGCAAUCUCUCUAGAUCUCUCUCUUUCUCUCUCUAGAUCUCCUCAUCAUAACUUCUCCGCCGAUGAUUGCCUUUCCACCACCGCAACUUUCUCUCCUCUGAUCGUUUACCACACCUCGCCACAACACCAUAGUAAUGUACACAUAUGUUUAACUCUUCCACUACAUGUACAUGCGUACGGAAAGUGUCAAUAUGAGAUACCAACCCACCCAACGAAAUAAUAACUGAUUCAAUGAACUGAGUACUUACACCCAAAACCUUAACGAGAAAUAAGAUCUCUAUUCAAUCAUGUGUGUGUGUGUAUCUCUUUCUCUCUCAACUCGACCGGACCUUACGAUAAUUACUGUUUAGCUGAAGCAACGGUGGAUAAACAAAAGUUACUACCUCGGAGAUUUAGCUGUUAAUUGUGGUAACUUAUACUAAAUAUAGUAAACUUCAUAGAUCUUUGGUUUAAAAUAUAAAAAUGCUAUAAGAAGAGAACAGGUAGUUCGCCUGUGUUUUUAUUUACCGACUUUUAUUUAUAGGAAGUUUUUCACUAUUAUUUUCAGAACAUUAAUUCUAGUUUUCAUAUCUAGAACAAGAUUUAAUAAAUUUUUUGAAAGAUUGGUUUUAAGUUAACUAAACCUGCAGAAUAUAGCUGGUAAUUUUAAUGUUUAAAAUUUUAGGAAACUAGUAAUCCAGUUACUACAGCUUUUCUAAACUUUAAAUCAAAGAUUUAUAAAGUUCACCAUAUCUAGUAUAAGUUUCUACCGCUAGCAGUUAAAUCUCCGAGAUAGUAGAUUUUGUUUAUCCACCGUUGCCUCAGACAAACGAUGAUUAUCAUAAGGCCGAGUAGUUGAGAGAGAGAGAGAGAGAGAGAGAGAGAGAGAGAGAGAUAUAUAUAUAUAUAUAUCAUCCAGAACACACGAUAAUCCUCGUGCCUCCGAAGGUACAAGCAUUCGACAAAAGCAGCCACCUUGAAGGCUUAGUUAUUAGCCGAGGCAAUCUGAACUAGAUCGUAUAAACUUCUUAAAUCUUUUAUUUAAAAUGCUAAAAAGCUAUAGUAAAUAGAUCACUAGUAUUCCCAAGUUUUAGUUAUUAAAAAUUACCAAUUACAUAUAGCUAACAUUUAAAUUACUACAUCUUCAUAAAUUUAGUCUAUUUUAAAACUAUCUUUAAAAAAAUAUCAUAAAUAACGUUCUAGUUAUAGAGAUUGGCUUUUAAAAUUCUCAGGCCGAUGAUAUGAGAAUACUCAUGCUAGCAGAAGCAUGAGUAUUCAACAAAAGCUACUAUUUCGAACGCUUAGCUGCUGGGUAUGGCAAUUUGUAAUAGAUCUCGUAAAUUUUGAAGACUUUUAGUUUAAAAUGUUAAAAAGCUAUAGUAAAUGGAAUGCUAGUUAUCGAGUGUUUUAACUGUUAAAAAUUGCCGGCCAUACACUAUGAACGAUCAAAUUGCCACAUUUUCUUAGCUUUAUCGAACUUAAAAACUAUCUUUUAAGAUAAGUAAUGGAUCUAUUUCUAGUUAUUGGGAGUAGAAUUUAACUUCUUAGGCUAGUAGGUAAGAAUCCUGCAACAAGCUAAAACUGGCAAGUAAAAUAUAGGCGAAGCAUGAGUAUUCAACAAAAACUACAACCCCUAAGGCUUAGCUGCUAGGUGUGGCAGUUUGUACUAGAUCUCAUAAACUUUGAAGAUAUUUUAUUUAAAGCAUUAAAAAACUUUAGUAAUAUUUCAGGUAGUUCGCCUAUAUUUUACUUGCCAGUUUUUGCCUAUAUUUUACUUGCCAGGUAGUUCGCCUAUAUUUUAUUUGCCAGUUUUAACUUGUUGUAGGAUUCUUACCUACUAGCUUAAGAAGUUAAAUUCUACUCCCAAUAACUAGAAAUAGAUACAUCUCACUCAGAUGAAAAGAUAGCCUUCAAGCCUCGAGAAAGCUAAGAAAAUCGAGCAAAAGCUACAACGCUCAAAGCUUAGCAGCUAGCCGAGGCAAUUUGUAACUAGAUCUUAUAAACACUCGAUAAAUAGCAUUCCAUUUAAAAUAUUAAAAUGAUAUAGUAAAAGGAUCACUUGCUUCCCCGAGUUUUAGUUGCCGACUUUUAUUUUUAGAAUGUUUUACAUUAUUAUACUGUAAUUUUAAAAUUUAGUUUCUAUAACUAGAACAAAAUAUAUCAUAUUUCUUAAAAGAUAGUUUUAAAGUGCACUAAACCUAUAAAGAUAUAGCAAUUUGAACGUUUGCCGAGUGAUGCCGGUAACUUUAAAUAAUUAAAACUCGGAUAAGCUAGUGAUCCGUUUACUAUAGCAUUUUAGUAUUUUAAAUAAAAGAUCCAUGAGGUUUAUGAGAUCUAGUUUAAAUUGCCUCGGCUAGCUGCUAAGCUUUCAGCGUUGUAGCUUUUGUNUAUAUAUAUAUAUAUAUAUAUAUUUUGAAUAAAAAGCUGUAAGUCAAAAUUUACUUCAGGAAUGGGAGUGUGAUGUAUCUUUCAAUGUUACAACAUAAAGAACACGUAACAAGCAACUUGAACACUCGAUUGGAAUUAUUAUACGAGAGUUAGGAUAAGUAGGAAACUAUAAAAGGACUUCAAUCUAUAGGGGAUACUACGAAGAGAUACUUAUAAAAUAAUGAGGGAAAAUAAUGCAAAGUUUGACUCCAAAGUUUGGGGAAACACACACUAGUAGUGACAUGUAUUAUAUCUUAAUAGGUGUCUUAACCCUUCAAUGUUGUGAAUGGUCUCUCUUACAUCACCAAUUAUUUGUAACAAUAUUAUGAAAAUAUGAAGCAAUUAAAAAUAUGAAUUCAGUUAGAAAUAUAAAACAAUUAAACUUUGAACUCAGAAACUCUAUUUGUGCUAGGUACGGUCAAUAAGAGACUAAAAUUAUUAUUUUUUUUAAAAAAAAAAAAUAACAUGCUAUCCGUUUUGUUUAUUUUUUAGAAAAAUAAAUUUAGCUGGAUAUGUAAAGUAACUAAAUUUUAAACUUGAGACCUAUGGUGCCAACCAAACUAUUUGUCAAUUGCGCUUGAGAGGACCGUUAAGAGACUAAGAUUGCUGUUAAUAAGAAAUUAACUAUAUGUUUUACUGAAAAUUUUAUUUUAAUUAGAUGUGGAUUAAAAAAAAAAAAAAAAAAAAAAAAAAAAAAAAAAAAAAAAAAAAACUCACUUAUGCCUUGAUAAUACAAGUACCUAUAAAAUAAAAAUCUAGAAUAAUCCCAUUACUUUUUCAAGAACGAACAAUCUCACCAUUUUUGGUAACCAUUUCGAAAAAGUUAUAAUUCGGUGAAAGAAUAAACCUUUUCAGUGAUGCAAUUAUAACCCUUGUCAACAUCUAGAACACAUUUAAAAGCCAGAAACAAGAUGAUUACAAUAGAAAAACUUUUAAAAAAUAAGUACAAUCAUAUACACAAGUAUUAAAAAAAAAAAAGAGAGAGAAUGAAACAAUAGGCUUUGCCACCAUACUUAUCUACAUGGUAAUAGAUAAUAAUUUAAUUCAUAUCCAUACAUGUUUAUCUGUUUUAUUUUUGGAAUCUCUUGUACCAUUCAUGUCAUGUCACUAUUGUAUGGUAAUUCUUUGUUAAUAAGUGGUAAAUGGCCAAGAUUAAUUCUUCAAAUUUAUUUUAUUAGUUAUAGGUUUUGUUUGGACCAAAUCAACAAAAACCUCCUCAUUUUUGUUUUUUUUUUUUUGACCGAAUUUAAUAUGAUAUAGAAACGAAGGCUAGAAACAGAAUUAUACUUUUAAAAAUAAAUUUAUCUGAAAAUAUAAAGCAAUCAAGUUUUCAAUUUGAUAUUUCGAGUACCAAACAUCAAACUUUUUAUACUAUUACUAUCCAUAACUUCGUGGUACUCCGAUAUCUGAUCAAGAGGUCCAGAGUUUGUUUCUCGCUGAGUGAUUUAGACUCCAACGUUUUAGGAGAAAGGAUAAAAAGAAAAAAAGAAAAAAAAAAGUAAAAAAAGUACAGGAUAAUUUGCUCCCUUUAGUGGACUUGUUGGCCCCACCACUACCCAACCCAAUCCAGAAUCGCUGGACUAAAACGCAAAAGCUGUAAGCGUACACGCCCCACACAAGAAAAGGACUUAUUUUAUUUCUUAUGCCCCUAACUUGGAAACAACUUGAUGUAAAAACUCUCCUUUUUUUUUCAUUCUAUGUUAUCGCUAAAUUUUAAAGUUAUCACUUUCUCUCGUUAACUUUUAUUUACUUGUUCUUAUGCACUGAUCCCCCCACAAGCGCCGAGCUUUUAUUACUGAAUAAGCAAAAAUCUUUUUCUUUUUUUUUUUUAACUGAAAUUUAUGGUAAUUUGUCUCAAUUUUACUUAAAACUUUUUUACCCUUUUUAUGUAUUUCUUAUCAUAAAAAAUGGUGAUAAAUAAAAGAUAACUCAGAAAAAGACUCACCUGAUAACAGGAUCUCUCUCUCUCUCUCUCUCUCUCUCUCUCUCUCUCUCUCUCUCUAUAUAUAUAUAUAUAUGUAUAUAAGGUUUUAUGUUUUUGUGGAAUGCAAAAAAUGGUCAGAUCAAAUAUGCCAUCUCAUUAAUUAAUGGAUUAAAGUCGAAGCAUUUAAUUAACAAUAUCACAUCACAAUGUCUUUAAAAACUUCAUACUUCCCUUAUCCUCUGUUUGAGACACAAUAAUUCAUCAGCACUGUGAAAACCCUUCCACCAACCAACCAACACAAAUUAGCCUCAAAACAAACUAAAAAAAAUGAAAUUGGAUGGAUAAUAUGCAAGGAAGUCCCCUCAAGAACCGCCCAUCAACAUUUUCGUCAGCUAAAAAUUUCAAAAAUCUAUUGAGUUCAACAAAUUACUGUCGAAUUUAGUAAAAAAAAAUUUUAGAUUGUUUGGUGCGAAUGAUUUGAAUCGAAAUAAUCGAAAAGAAGAAAGUGUGAAACAUUUUUUCUACUAAAUAAACAAAAUUUGAGAAAAGUCUAAAUAUGUUUUACAUACAAAGGACUCAUAAUUCAUUCGAUCUUAUUUUCCAUUGCAGUGCCAUUCCUUUCAUCAGUGUCACAGUGGCGACGACGACGACGACAACAACAACAACACUACUCACCCACAAAAUUGCUAUGCCUUCGUGCUCCACCAUCCUCUCACACCACUCCAUCUUCUUCUAUCGAUCUAUCUAACAAAAAGAAAACUCUUAACUUUAAUGUACAUGAUGAUGAUCUUACAAAAGAGAAGAAGAGAAUAAGAAUAUAUAGAUAGAUAACAACAUAUUUUGGGUCACAAAGAUCCCUCCUUUGCGGAGAGCCUCUUGAGGAACUCAUAGGUGGUGAUCAUGGUGGCGGCGGACAUCGACAUGGACGCCCACCGCGGCCCCAAUCCCCGAUAGCACGCGGCCCAGCCGCCCUCACGCAAGAGCGCCCGCACCGUGCGCCGGAUCGUCGGCCUCGCCCCGCCUUCGUCGAGCACCUGCAUCCGGGUCUUGAUGGUGUCGAGCGGCAUGGUGACCACCGCCGCCGCACCCCCCGCCACCGCGGCGCUGAGGCCCUGCACGGCCACGACGGAGCCGGACUCGGGCUUGUAGCCGUUGGCGCCGUCGUAGCCCACGGCGCCCCAGAUGAGGCGCUGGGUGACGGAGUAGGACGCCCACCACACGGCGUUGGAGGGCGCGUAGGUGAGGAUGGACACGCCGAAGCCGCGGUAGAGCCCGCGGGGCCCGUCGCUCAUCAGGAUCUUCUUGAAGGCGUCGAUGCCGCCGCGGUACUUGGCGGAGGCGGUGGCGCAGCCCUGCACCAUGAGGCGUUGGCUGAUCACGUCCACCGGGGUCCAAACCACCUGUGGAGUGUGGAGUGGAGGACACAUCAAAAUACCGUUCUCUAACAACUUAAACUUUAAUAGAUUCUACACUCAAACUUUAUAGUUACUUGAUACUAAUAAGGAGAAAGGAAAAGAAAGCUAAAGUUAAUGGCUUUUUUUUCCGUCUAAAAUUGUAAAGGAAAAAAAAAAUCAAUUUUUUCAUCUAAAUGACACAAAAUAUCCAUUGUGCAUUAAAAAAAAAAUAAAGUAGAAAAUUGAAUAUAGGAUAAUUUAAAAAACUAAUACUUGUAUUUAGUUUAAGCAUGCUUUUAGAGCAAUCUUUGGUGGUGGUUGUUUCGCGAACCUGAGCGGCGACGGCGGCGCUGAUCCCAGCGGCGGCGGAGGAGGCGGCGGAGGCGGCGGGCUCGGGGACGCCGAGGCGGAGCGCGGCGGUGCCGACGCCGCUCUUGGUGGUCUCGAGCGCCGCCAUGUAGAGGGCGCGCGCGGGGACGGUGCCGGCGAGGGAGGUGGCGAAGCCGCGGUAGAACCCGCGCGGGCCCUCGCGGCGGAGGAUCGCGGCGGCGCCGGCGCGGAGCGGCGACGGCGACGGCGACGAGUGCGCGACCUGGAGGCGCGUCUUGAGGACCACCGCGGGGUAGAGCGCGGCGGAGACCGCCGAGAAGAGCGCCGCGCCGAGGAAGAAGAAGCGCGACUUGUCCAGCAUCUCCCAGUUCACCUCCGCCGGGAGGUGGAUCUCCGCCGCCGCCGCCGACGCCGACGCCGCCUCCGCCGCCGCCGCUGUGAAGCUCAUGUCUCCGUUUCCUCUUUGCCUACACCACCGAUGGCCUCCCCUUCAUCUAUGCUCGACCCUGACCCUAAGACCCCGUCCCUAAAAACCAACCCUAAUUGCUUAGCUAGGUGCGCUCAAGAUCUACUCGAUCGAGACGAUGCCGUGGAAGAGCGGAUUCGCGCGGCGAGAUCACCGCGAAGACAAAACAUCUCCAAGCUCUAGGGUUAGGGUUAGGGUUUUGGAGGUGGUUGAGGGAGAAAUGGGGGAACGAAGAGGGGAAGGAGAAAACGCAGAGGGAGGGGUGUGAGAUUUUUUUGGAUCUCGGGGGAUUUGUUGCAUUUUAUAAGACUUUUCCUGCCGGGUUGUCCAGGCGUCGCCGGUAACCGCCACGUGUCGGUAGUGCUUGAGACGUUUGCGUGGACCAAGUCCACGACGAGCCGAUCUUAAAACCACACUCAACUCGCACAGUCACUACCAGGAGUCCUGGUAAUGUGAUGCAUCUAUAUUUAUCCCGUUAAAAUAGGUUUUUAUUUUAUCCUAAUAAUAAUGGAUAAGACUUUUAUAUAAAAAAAUAAAACAUAAAAUAAAAAAAAAACAUAAAUCUUUGUCAUGAAAGAAGAAAAACUAGGGUUAAUUUCAUAGGUACCCUCUCAACAACCCCUAAUCACAUAGACACCCUUCAAAAAUUAUUAAUAUCAAAAUUGCCCUCCCCACAUUUAGUAAAAUUAUCAAAACUACCCAUGUUACUUGAAUUUCCGAAAAAAAUAUGGCCAAAAUACCAGUUUUACCCCUCUCACUCUUACAACAUUUAUAAUACAUAUUUUUUUAUAAGUAUUUUUUAGUUUAAUUUAAUUUGUUUUUUAUUUACAGUUUAAUUUGAUUUUUUUUUCAAAAAAAUUAUGACUAUGAGUUUUUUUCAUAUUUUUCUUUUUAUAGUUUACUUUGAUUAUUUUAAUUAUUUUUUCAUUUAAAAUAGAAAACUAUCAAAAAAAAUUUUCAAAGAUAAAAUAGAAAACUAUCAAACUAUAUAUAACAUAAUAUAAAGAUUUAAAAAAUAAUCAAAGUAAACUAUAAAAAGACAAAUAUGAAAAAAAACUCAUAGUAAUAUAAAUUAAAGCUACAAUAAAGAAUUUUCAAACUACAUCUAAAACAAUAUAAAAAUCUUAAAAUAAAUCUAACAAAAAGUAUCUAAUUAUUCCAUUUGUAAUUAAACAAAUAAAAUGAAUAUAUACUAGUUAAAUGAAAUAAAAUAUAGACAUAUUAAACUAGUUAAAAUGAAGACAUAUUAAAUUAAUUAAAUUAAACUAGAAAAAUACUUAUAGUAAAAGUAUAUUAUCUUGGUAAUAAAAUAUAUAUUAUAAUAGUUGUAAGAGUGAGAGGGGUAAAAUGGGUAUUUUAGCCAUAUUUUUUUUAAAAUAUAGGUAAUAAGGGUAGUUUUGAUAAUUUUACUAAAUUUGAAGGGUAUUUUUUAUAUUAAUAAUUUUUCGAGGGUAUCCAUGUAAUUAGGGGUUGGUGUGAGGGCACCUAUGAAAUUAACCGGAAAAACUAUAUGUUAAUAUCAACAUCCGAUCACAUAUAUAAUAACAACGUAAUAAGUGACAAGUUUCAUUAUAUUUUACAGAAUAUAGUUUAUAUUAUAUUGUAUAAAAAAAGAUUAAUAUUUAUACUAAUAUUAUGAGUUGGACUGGGCUACUAUUAGUAGCAAAAUCUAAUUAUUGCUACCAGUUUUUUAGCCUUUGGAUCAACUCUUUUCAUUAUUUCUAACCAUUGGAUUAAAUACUAUAACCCAGUAGGGACCACUCAACCCUAGGGGGACCACUCCACUCUAACCAACUAAUAUCAUCCUGAUCUUAUAAUUUUUCAUCCAAGGGUUAAAAAUUUGAUAGCAAAAAGAGCGUUUUACUAUUAAUAGUAUUCCAACCUAAUUCCUAAUAUUAUACCAUUUAAUAUUGUUAUUUUAUUUUACACAUUAUUUUAACUGUUUGCUAGAAGUUUAUUGUAUUACACUUUAAUUCAGAAUUAUAAAAUGUGUCAUAAUGUAACUUUUAAGUAUAGCUAACAUUAUUAGCCAAUAAUAUUAAAGAAUAUUUGAUUUUUAAAACUUCUACUCUUUAUUAGAUAGUAAAAACUAACCAAAUGUAUUUAAAAAAAGAGUUCAGAUAAUUUUGGUACUUCGAAGAAUAUUUAAUAUGCCUACCUUUCAUUUAUACUAAAUACUAAAAUAUUGUACAAAAAUAGUUAUGGCAAAAUUUAAAAAAUUAAAAAAAUUACCAUGGAAUGCAAAAUUUGAUUUAUGCUUAUCUUUUUCGUAAAUAUUCUUUAAUUUUUGAACAAUUAACGGAUAUACCAAAGAUUCAAAUAUUAAGCUUUCGAACAUCUGAUUUUUUAUAAAAUUGCAAUUUGUUAGUGAACUUAAGAGGAGUUCUUUUUGCUGACGUGGUGGACCUGGUCCAGGCAAUAAAUGCACGGAGUCCACAGGGGGAGUGUGGUGGGCGCGAUUACCGCGAUGGUGACGUGGAACUUUAUCCACACUGUACGGCCGGCUACCGCCUACUCCCGGUAAACAUAUCGGAUGCUGUGCCCACUGGAACUGGGACUCGAUAAUGUGACCCAGGUCAUUCAUUGGCUCUUUGUCCACUAAGAACGCUUCCCAAUGGAUUGGUCCAUAUUUUGAGUAGCAAUGUUGAGUGGGUUUACUAGAGUAGGAUAAAGUUGCUUCAGGAACCGGUGGGACGUUCCCCGCCCAUCUUAUCGGAACAGCCAGUGUCGGAACGGUGGGCCGAGAAAUUAUUGCGUGCGCUCGGUGUACAACAACAUCUCAUACUCGGUUCCACUAUGAAACUUCAUAAUAAAUAAUAGUAUUUAAAAAUUAUAGCAUCUAUCAGUUCCCCGUAUGCUCACGAGAUUAAUAAGUUGAAUGGGUUGAGUCCGAUAAGUUGAAUAAGCUACGGCUCACUAUAAACCUAACGACAAGGGACUCAACAUUAGACCGAACGUACAGAUUGAUUGAGUUACAUCAAAAUCUAUAAAUUUUGUUACUUAUUUCUUAAAGUAUAAUGGAUGUGUUCUUUUUCUAUCAGCAUGUGAUUUGGAAUUGUUGGUUAGUGCUUACGAUCCGGCAAUGUUUAUUUUCGUUGUUUGUUUUAUCGUAACUUCACCUUUAAGGGUUCGUUUGUUUUUGUGUAAGUGAAAGGGUGGAACUCACAUUUAUCACUUCUAUUAUUUAUUUUUGUGUAAAUAAAAGAUAUAAUGUAAUUAAAGUUAUAUUAGACCUCCAUUUCACUUAAUUACUCUCGACUUCCUCCUUUAAAAUGUCAAAUUCGACUUCCGCCACACUCAACCUACUCUAAAAGAUUUAUUAAACAGUAAAACUUAAAUUCUAUUUUCUUUAUAAUAGGUUAGAAUUACCUUAUUUAUAAUAAUUUAGGAUUACCUUUAAAUAAAAAAAAAAAAUUAAUUAUAUAAUAAAUUAGAUUUUAUAGCAGUAAAUUUAUCACUAUAUUUAGGAGUUAACGGGGUACACUUAAUUACAUUAAAAUAAACAUUGAAACUCAAAAAACUAAUUUCACCGGCAUCAAAUUACAUCAAAAUAAACAGAAAAAAUAAUUGAAUUUAACAUUCAGAUUGUGCGAGUUACAUCUAAACAAACAACCAAAAAGUAAUCACACUUCAGGAAAACUCAAACCCCACCGCACUUAAGUUACGUUGGAUUUACAGAUUCGUCAAUCCAAACGCCUGCGAAACUUGAACUUUUCAAAAUAGUGCAGGCCAAAGUAAAUUACGAAGAAUAAAAGAGAGAAAGAAAAAAUUAUAAAUAUGUUUCUCAUAUAUAUAUCUUUAAUUUUUAAUUUUUACGUCGUUCACUUUCUGCCAAACUAACGGCAAAAUUCAAAUUAAAAACUUUAGUUCAACAGCUAUUCAAACAAAUGUGAGGUGAAAAAUAUUUUUCAACUAAAUUUUAAUUUACUCUAAUAAAGUUUAUUUCAACUUAAACUUCACCUUUGGAAAAACAAACUUCAUGUAUACAGCGGAUCCAGGCAUAAUUUUCCCCAUCAGAAGCGGCAGGUCCGGCGGAUCUAGGCCGUUGGAUCCAUAAAGGCCCACGGUUAGUGUACGGGUCCACGUGGGCAAUCGGUGGGCGUGAGGAGCACUCGGAUUGGUUGACGUGCCACGUGGGGAUCCACAAUUGGCUACGAGGAAACGUCGCGCCCGUGGAUUUGGAUACUAGGGAUAGAGAAAGGAAAAAAAAAUAAUAAUAAUAAAAAAAGGGGAGCCUAUCAUGCUAUCAUGCACUGCUACCUGAGUGUGGGGCUACAUUAAUCAAACGGCGCUCAACUCGUAUCAUUUUUUUUUUUUUGGUGCUUGUACUUUUUCGGAGUAAAAUUGUACUCUAACUCUUGUACUGUGCUGAUUUUUAAAUUUCGUACUCGAUUGAGGUGGUAGUAUCUGAGAGUUUCUGCGUACCCGCUGAUUCCGCUGCUUAUCGAGCCAUCUGAACCAUAGACGGAACCAUAGACGGUGAUUCAACUAACUUUAAAGCUGGAGUUCCUGUCCACCUCCUGAUCUCGCCACUUGUCGAGUCAUCUGAAUCGUAGAUGGUGAUAUAUAUACGUACGUAGGAGGAGAAUUACGGUAUUAUUUUCUGAGCUAAGUGAAGUUUUAUUUUUAGUUCUCGAACUUUUUAAUUUGAUAUUUAUGAUUAUAAGUUUUCAAUAUGAUUUCAGUUUAUUUGUUGCUAAUUUUUUGUUUAAUUUUAGUUAUUAUUUUAGAGUGAGUCAAAAUUUUAUGGCAUAUAAAUGUACAAAUACUCUGAGUGUAAAUAAUAAUUUACUAGCUAGAGAAACAUAAAACAUAGCUGGGACUAAAGUAAAAUAGUUUUAAAAGUUUAGAAAUUAUUAUUGUGAAGUUUAGAAGUUAGAGGAAGAAAAUAAAAAAUUGCUGAGACUACUUAUCACCACCUAAUUAUAGAAAUUUAUUUGUAUUCUCUCUUAGUCAAGCAGUCAAAAUCCUCUUUUAAGUAGCAUCUGAAAAUUCUCAGGAGCAGCAAUUAUUUCAGAGUAAUCAUCGUUGAAAAUAGAAUUCAAUGUCUCUUUCAUGUCAACGUCGAGAGAGAAAGAGAGAGCGAGAGAGAGAGAGAGAGAGAGAGAGAGCUUCAAUUCUAACCAUCAUACAGUGUAAAUUUUAACCUUUGGGAUAACCAAGAAGCAACCCACUUAAUUGCAAUUAAAAAAAAAAGUCCUUAGUAAUUGUAGAAAAAGUAUCAUUAUUUAUAAAAAGCAAAAGGAGCCAAAAUUUAUAUAGUUCAACCUAGUAUAGUUAUAGGGCCGCUAAUUUCUUGUAACGUUGCGCGCAGAAAUUUUUUUACAAAAGAGAGAGUAAUAAACUGCUUUUUUUUUUUGAGAGAGAGAUAGAUAGCACGCUAUUCGCUUCGUUUAUUUCAUUUAGAAAUAAAUUUAACUAGAAAUGUGAAUCAACUAGGAUUCGAACUUGGGUCUCGAGUACCAACCACCAAACCCUUUGUCACUUGCUUUAGGGACGGUCGGUAGAGUAAUAAACUGUUGACUUUCGGGUUUUGUGGUUGGUUAAGUAAAUUACAAUUAUUUAUCAUUCACUAGCUAAUUAUAUUAAUUUCAUUUUAGAUGACUAAGUCUUAGUAAAACAAGAAGGUAUGAAAAAAAAAAAUAAUAAUCUAAAGUUCACAGCUGUUUGUGAUCAAUAUAUAUUUGCAAAAGUGGGCAUAUAUAAUAUUAUGAGUUUUAUAUACUAACUUAGCAACUUUUUUACUGUUUUAUUAAAUAGUAAUGAUGCAAGAUAAGAUCGUGACUAUUUUAGUAAUUCAAUAUUGAGUUUUUAAAGUUCAUUAAUUAUAUAUCAACAACCAAGGCUCCAAAAUUUAACUCCUCCAUAACUUGCAUAUAUAUCCAUUAUCAUAAAUGCAUCAAACACACACAGUUGAUUUUACCUGCACCUAGAGUAGUAGAUCCCCUCAUCAACAGUGAAAAAAUUUCUAUUUCUUUCUCAUAACUUGCUCAUAUUAAUUACUUUAAUUAGCGCGAGCAAAUAUCCGACUUCUGCUUUUUGAAUAGAAAAACAGUUCGAUUAGUCAAAAAACAUAAUUUGUUAUUAUUUAAUACGAAAUCGUCAAUAUGCGUCAUUUGGAUCAUAGAUGAUGAGCUAGGUUGGAAAUUAAAGAGAGUGAGAUGUCACAGCAAGGGAUUUUUUUUUUUUUAUAAAGAAACACACUUAUUUACUACUUCAAAAGCUUUUUCAACCACCUAUUAGAAUAACCAUUCCAUCAUUUUUCAAUUUAUGUAGGAAAAAUGCAUCUACAGUGACUGGAGUAAUUGUAUGUGCUGUGUGGAAUUAGAUACAUAAAAUAAUGGAACUAAUUAUUAACUCAAAUAUAUCUAUUGAACUGAUCAACUGAGCCACCGUUUUUGUGUAUUAAAUUUUAAUUUGAGUCAUUUGAUAACUCUUCGUCGACAAAAGGUUGUCAAAAGCCUGAUAUUUAAUAGUAGUCGCUUAGUAAUAACGUAAAAUUAGCUUUAAUAUCAUAUUAUGAAAGAGAUCGAUUUUAUAUAUAUCUAUACUAUAUAUAAAAGCGUAUAAGAAUUCCGACUAUGGCAGACGGAAUCCAAAAAGAAAUAAAAUAAUAUUCCCUAUGAAUGGUUAUGUUUAAUUUGUUAAAAAUAUCUCAAAUAAAAAUUAACCGUUAUGAUCAAUCUAUUAAAUAUAAAAUAAUAUUUCCUACGAAUGAUUAUGAUUAAUUUGUUAAAAAUAUGUCAAAUAAAAACGAACGGUUAUAAUCAAUCUAUUAAAAUUCUACUACAUAUAAAAAUCUAUUCCCUAUAAAUGGUUAUGAUCAAUUUGUUAAAAAAAUAUCUCAAAUAAGAACAGUUAUAAUCAAUCUAUUAAAAAAUAGCAUUCGCAUCCAUCUAUAAAUUCAAUCCUAUUAUAAUCAAUUUGUUAAAAAAUAUCUCAAAUUAAAACAAAUGGUUAUGAUCAAUUUGUUAAAAAAUAGCAUUUCCAUUAAUAUAUUUUACAUUAAAAUUAAAAUUUGAGUUUAAAUUAUGAAUUAAAUUUAUUUUUUUGAUAUUAAAUUUGAAUUAAUAAUUAAUUUUUUUAUUACCGUGGAUCAAAAUUAAAUUUUAAAUUUUAAAUUAAAUGUGAAUUAAAUUUUGAUGCUUUUAGUUUAAAAUACAUAUUUAAAUUUGAUUCAUCAAAAAUCAAAAAGUAUAUAAAAAUAUUCAAUGUAUAUAAAUAAAAGAACACGGUAGGAUAUUAUAAAUAUUUUCUAAUAAAAUAUAACACAUUAAUUUAUAAAUAUAAAUUUUUCUGUAAAAUUUUGGAUAUAUAUAAUGUACAAAUUUAUAUUGAUUUGAAAUAAAUUAUAAUAAUUGUUACAUGCAUUUGCACGUGCAUUCAACUAGUAUAUAUAUAUAUAUAUAUAUAUAUAUAUAUAUCGUAGAAGAUAAUUUUUAAGUGAUAUAUACAUUUUUUUUUUUCUUUUCAAUCCAUUUUAACCGGCAAUUAAUAAUGGCAUGCUAGAUUCGAUGAAGAAACUAAUUAAAUCUAUUAGAUUACUUUGUAAAAUUUGAGCUGCCAAGUAAGAUGAAUCUUGAGAAUCUAAAAGAAGGCUUGGUUUUUGGUAUACUAAAUAUUACAUGAAAAUUUCAACACCGCAUAUUAAUAAAAAAAAAAAAGAAAGAAUCUCAUCCAUGCAAUGCACAUUGUGGUAUUGUUAAAUAUAAAAUUAUAUAAAUACCGUUCUUUAAUAACUUAAGUUUUUAAAGUACAAUGAUUGUUUCACAUAGUAUCAGAACAUGAGGUCUUGAGUUCAAGUCAUGCCAGACCCCUAGCAUAAUUAAUUUCUUCCCAUUUAAUUCAAGCCCACGUCAUGGGCCGACUAAAAAGUCUCGAGCCCAGACGUGAAGGGGAGUGUAAAAUGUUUAAAUACCGUACUCUUUUAGAGUACAACGGUUGUUUCACAUGGUAUCAGAGCAGGAGAUCUUGAGUUCAAGUUAUGCCAAACCCCUAGCAUAAUUAAUUUCCUCCCAUUUAAUUCAAGUUCACAUUAUGGGCCUUACAAAAAGUCUUGAGUCCAGACAUGAGGGGGAGUGUUAAAUAUAAAAUUAUAUAAAUAUCGUUCUUUAACAGCUUAAGCUUUUAAAGUACAAUGGUUGUUUCACAGAAACCAUUCAUAUUUUACUUGUUUACUAUUAACAAAUUAUAUUAUCAAAAAAAAAAAAAAAAAAAAAAAAAAAAAAAAAAAACCAUAUCCACCACCAUGCUGAGAAAAGCCCAUUUUUUUAUUGGGCCUUGUUGGGCCGCUUUGAGGAUAAAAUCUUGGGCCUCGUCGAGACAUUCGCGGAACUGCUAACAAUUCAGCGUGAGUUUUUAUUUAUUUAUUUUUGACAUAGAUGCAGAAUUAAGCAUACCGUCCGACUGGUAUAGCAACUGGUGGUAAAAUUUUAUGUUCAGAUUUGCAACAUAAAAUUCAGGGGUUAUUUAAUCUUGUGAUUGGACUUUAUGUUGCUGAUUAAAGUCAAAUGGACACACUAUCAAUUGUUAUCCUCCAUUUGGAUAAAUAGUGGUUUGUAUAAUUAAGUAGCAUAGCCCACUUUUAAAAUAAAAGAACUUAAUUAUUCAACCAUCUUGGACUAAACUUUCGCGAAAUCGCGCUCAGAUUUUCGCGAAAUUUGAAUGAAGGACCUGUUUGGCUCGAUUUCCGCUUAUGCUUUUAGCAGCAGUAGUAAAUUCUAUUUAGUGCAUAUAAAAAUUUAGGAUUUAUACUACAACCAAAAGCGGAAAAUGAGAUUUGAAACUUCGAAAAUAAAAGUUUAAGCUUGAUAAUUCUAAUAUCUUGAAAAAAAAAUAAUUUGUUCAGAGUACUCAUAAUAAUAGUAAAGAUACUAUUUUAUCAAAGAACAUAAUACUUUGCUAUAUGUCUAAACAAGCGCAAAAUUUAAUUAUCGGAUCCAAAUGUAUCAACAAUUAAUAUAGGUGAAUCUUCUUUAUAAAUUAAAUAUCAAGGGUAAAGUUUUCUAUCAAUUAUCUAUUUAAGUGUUAAUUCUAUUUAUUGUUUCUCAUUGUAUAAGCUUAUUUAUUCAUUUAUUUAUUUAGUCCAUUACUCCCACUCUUUGUGUGCUGGGUAUAUAGUAGCUUUUGAUUAGCUAGGGACCUAGGGCAUCAUUAAUUAAUAAGAUUUAAAAGGCAUUUACAAAUAUAGAGUAGGAGUGAUAUAUUUUUGUGAGUAGGAAAACCAUCAUACGCGUAAGUUGUUCUGAAUGAUGGAGAUUUCGAUAAGGAUGAUUUAUAUUAUCAAAUAUGAUUUAAUAUAUUUCAAAUAUUUAAAAGUUAAAUUUUAUAACUUUUUAAAUUUAUAAUAAAGUCCUUGAAGCGGGUACGAAAUGGGUGGUCAAAAAUCAAAUGAUCUUCUUAAUUAUAAGAAAAGGUGCUAGGAUUUUUAAAUUCAUGAUUAGAUUUUUUGAUCUUGAUCUAUAUAGUAAAUAAAAUUUUUUUAUCAAGAAUUCAAUCGAUUCUAAUUCUUCUGCACCAUUAAUUAGGAAAUGCCUCGUUUUGGCUAUUAAAAUUAUAAUUUUGAGGUUCUUGUAUAGUAAGAUAUAUGAUAUAAAAAAUAAAAUAAAAUAUUUUUUGAGAGAUAGGUAGCACGCUACCCGCUUCGUUUAUUUCAUUAAGAAAUAAACUUAGCUAUAAAUGUGAAUCAACUAGGAUUCGAACUUUGGACCUCAGAUACCAACCACCAAACCCUUUCCCACUUACUCUAGGGACCUAGGGCAUCAUUGAUUCGAAAGCUCUAUAUUCAAAAACGGCUUAAAUACUUUAGAUCAUAUAUGAUCGUCGAUUCGGAAGCUCUAUCAUUGAAAACAACUUAUAAGUAUAAAGGGCUCUAUACUCAUAAGAGUAUAGUAGCCCUAGCCUAUAUAUAUAUAGAGAGAGAGUGGAGCUAGAAUACUUUUACAAGUAUCACCUGGGUGGUGCUUUAGAGUUUUUAGCCCUUGGAUGGAGAGAUGUGAGGUUGAGAUGAUGGUGGUAGGUGGUGGUAGGUGGAAUAGUAUUUGAUCCAAGAACUAUUAGUAAUUAAGAAGUAGAUCUAAUGGCUAAAAACCUAAUAGCACCAUGGAGGUGAUACUUGUAAAAGUAUCCUAGCUCAACUAUAUAUAUAUAUAUAUAUAUAUAGAGUUGAGCUAGAAUACUUUUACUAGUAUCACCUCCGUGGUGCUAUUAGGUUUUUAGCCAUUGGAUCUACUUCUUAAUUACUAAUAGUCAUUGGAUCAAAUACUAUUCCACCUACCACCAUCUACCACCGCCUACCACCAUCAUCUCAACCUCACAUCUCUCCAUCCAAGGGCUAAAAGCACUAAAGCACCACCCAGGUGAUACUUGUAAAAGUAUAUAUAUAUAUACUNNNNNNNNNNNNNNNNNNNNNNNNNNNNNNNNNNNNNNNNNNNNNNNNNNNNNNNNNNNNNNNNNNNNNNNNNNNNNNNNNNNNNNNNNNNNNNNNNNNNNNNNNNNNNNNNNNNNNNNNNNNNNNNNNNNNNNNNNNNNNNNNNNNNNNNNNNNNNNNNNNNNNNNNNNNNNNNNNNNNNNNNNNNNNNNNNNNNNNNNNNNNNNNNNNNNNNNNNNNNNNNNNNNNNNNNNNNNNNNNNNNNNNNNNNNNNNNNNNNNNNNNNNNNNNNNNNNNNNNNNNNNNNNNNNNNNNNNNNNNNNNNNNNNNNNNNNNNNNNNNNNNNNNNNNNNNNNNNNNNNNNNNNNNNNNNNNNNNNNNNNNNNNNNNNNNNNNNNNNNNNNNNNNNNNNNNNNNNNNNNNNNNNNNNNNNNNNNNNNNNNNNNNNNNNNNNNNNNNNNNNNNNNNNNNNNNNNNNNNNNNNNNNNNNNNNNNNNNNNNNNNNNNNNNNNNNNNNNNNNNNNNNNNNNNNNNNNNNNNNNNNNNNNNNNNNNNNNNNNNNNNNNNNNNNNNNNNNNNNNNNNNNNNNNNNNNNNNNNNNNNNNNNNNNNNNNNNNNNNNNNNNNNNNNNNNNNNNNNNNNNNNNNNNNNNNNNNNNNNNNNNNNNNNNNNNNNNNNNNNUAUAUAUAUAUAUAUAUAUAUAUAUAUAUAUAUAUAACUAUAUAUAUAUAUAUAUAAUUGAAUUAAAAUACAAUUAAUAGUAUAUAAACAGUGAUUAUUAUCCACUUUUCUACUCUUAAAUCUCCUAGACAUUCAAUAGUAAAAAAAUGGAUAGUAAUUAUUAUUCAUAGUAUUACAUCGAUCACAACUAUAUUUAUGUAGAGAGAGAGAGAGAGAGAGAGAGAGAGAGAGAGAGAGAGAGAUAGAUAGUUGAGCUAGAUACUAUUAAGUCCAUGCUUCUAAUUAACUUUUAUGCAAUGCUAUACUAUUCUACUUACUCCGCCACUAGAACCCUACUAACGAUCAAAAGACAAGAAAUUGAAAAUAUGAACUUCUAAAAUUAUUUCAGCUCAAUUUUAUAUAUAUAGAGAGAGAGUCCGGUUAUAAUAUUUUUUUAAAGUAUUAAGCACUUGAUGCUUUAAAGUUUUUUACUUUUAGAUCUAUAUUUUGAUCAAUUCCAUUUCUUAGAUUAUACUAUUCCAUAAACCACCCACUUAACUCUAAGGCUCCGUUUGGUUUGGAGAAGAAAGUUAUCCCCGCUAUUCUACAAAACGCGGUGAAAUUUUAUCGGGAUAUUUUAUUUAAUAUUUGAAAUUAAAACUCUAAUAUUUAAUAUUUUAAAUUUUUAAAUUUUAAAAUUAAAAAUUUAAAAAUUUUAUUCUUAGUCCCACCCUUGUUAAUUAUUUUUAUUAAAUAAUAUUAUUAAAAUAUCUAAAAAAUUUUUUAAGAUGAAUUUGAAUUUAAAUUAUUUUUCUUAAAUAAUAUUAUGAAUUUAUAUUAAAUAAUAUUUAAAAUAAUAUAAUAAAUUUAUAUUUAUUAUACAUAAUUAUAUCAUAUUAAUUAUUAAAAUAUUAUUUUUAUUACAUAAUAUUAUAUAUUAUAUAAUAUAAAUAUAUCAAAUCAAAAUUAAGUUAAAUAUUGAAAUUAAUUCAAACUUUAAUUCAUAACCUUAUCGUGAUAAGGUGGUUUUACCGUUUCCCGAAUCACCAACCAUAGGCUCUGGGUUCAAGCUUAGGAUCAAUUAAGUGUAAAGAUCCAUUCAAAUAAAGAUUUACUUUAUUUGCUUCGCCCAUCGCACGAUGGAUAGAGAGUUUUUUUUUUUUUUUUUUUUUUUUUUGUUUAGGGAAUGAUAAGGCCCUAUUGGCUCUUAUCGUUCCAAACUAGCCUNNNNNNNNNNNNNNNNNNNNNNNNNCUUCCGAAUCAUGAUAACUAUCAUAUCGUCGUAUUAAGAUGGUACUAUUGAGUUUUCGGCCGUUGGAUGAAAGGAUGUGCGGUUAGGAUGAUAGUGGUCCCCGGUUAAAUUGAUAGUGGUCCUCUAGGGUUUAGUGGAUGGUUGAUUUAAUUGUAUAAUUUAAUAGACGGAAAUGAUCAAAGGAUAGAUCUAACGGUAGAAAACUCAAUAGUACCAAGGGCUUGGUACUAUCGAUAGUAUACUAACCGGACUCUCUCUCUCUCUCUAUAUAUAUAUAUCUAUAUAUAUAUAUAUAGAGAGAGAGAGAGAGAGAGAGAGUUUGGCUGGAAUACUAUAGAUAGUAUUGAGCGUUUGGUGUUAUUAAGUUUUUCGCCAUUAAAUUUAACCAUUUGACUAUUUUCAUCCGUUGGAUUAUACUAUUAAAUCAAUAACUCACUGAACCCUAGGAGGCCCACAUCAUGUUAAUCGUAUAUUUUUUCAUUCAAGGGCCGAAAAUCUAAUAUUAUUCCUUUUUGCUAUCAAGCUUUUAGUUUUUAAAUCAAUUCCUUUAAUUAUUUAUAACCACUGGAUUAAAUAUUGUAAUUCAGUAAGGGGCCACUCAAUCCUAAGAGACUAAUAUCAUCAUAAUCUUGUAAUUUUUCAUCCUAAGGUUAAAAACUUGAUAACAAAAAGAAUCAAAUACUAUCAAUAGUAUUUCAGCCCAACUCUCUCUUUCUCUAUAUAUAUA
rnacentral:lncRNA from 1 species